rnacentral:lncRNA from 1 species
GUUUCCAUUAUUAGAUAUUAGAGAAUUUCAAAAUCCAAACAGAUCCACAACUAUAAUAAAAUCAUUUAUUUACAACUACAACAGAAUAGUAUACAAAGUCAACAGAUCUUAACCAACGAAAUAGGAUUUAUGGCUACACGAACCAACUGUUGAUAGUUCUAAGAAGAAGUCAAUGGAAACUACGGUAGGUAAUUUAUUAAAACCAUUAAAUUCGGAAUAUGGUAAAGUCGCGCCAGGAUUGGGGACUACCCCUUUUAUGGGAGUUACGAUGGUUCUAUUUACAAUAUUUUUAUCUAUUAUUUUAGAAAUUUAUAAUUCUUCUGUUUUAUUGGAUGGAAUUUUAACGAAUUAGGUUUAUAAGAGUUAUGAAGUUGUAUUAAAAAAAAGAUUAUAAUUUACUAGACCGUUUUGGUAGUUCGACUGUGGAAUUUUUUUUUCCGGUAUUUCAGGAAUAUGAGUGUGUGACUUGUUAAAAUUGAUCCUAUUUGAUAAAAAUAUGUCUGUCAUCUUGAGAGAUGAUUCUACCUCGUCAGAUAUUUCUAUUUAUGCUAGUGCUAAUAUCUGGAACACGAAAGGGGAUAUAUAGAAUAGAUCAAGAAAAGAAAUAUCUGAACUAUGAUUCAUACCUACUAUUCCUCGUAACCGGAUUCAAAAAAGGGGUAAAAGGCUUUUAUUAAAUCAAACUUCUUUUCCUUCCAAAAAAGGACAACUUUUUUCUGGGUUUUGUUAAGUUUUUUUACUUAUCCUAGUCUCUAAAUAAGUGAUGAUCAAAUCGUUCUUACUCAUAGAACCUUUAAGCCUUUUUUCUGUACCAAAUCAUUGUGGCUAUAGUAUGAAUAUGAAGUUUGAAUCAAUUCAUAAGGUCUCAACAAGAUAAUUCCUAUCAAUAGUAAAACAAGACUUAAUUUGAUUGGUUCUCAGAUGGGGAUACUUUUAUUUUACCAUUCUCGAUAUAGUAUAUGAUUGGUUCGAAGAAUGUCUAGAGAUUCAGGCGAUUGCAAAUGAUAUAACUAGUAAAUAUGUUCCUCCUUAUGUCAACAUAUUUUAUUGUUUAGGGGGAAUCACAUUAACUUGUUUUUUAGUACAAGUAGCUACGGGUUUUGCUAUGACUUUUUACUAUCGUCCAACCGUUACAGAAGCAUUUUUCUCUGUUCAAUACAUAAUGACUGAGGUAAACUUUGGUUGGUUAAUACGAGCCGUUCAUCGAUGGUCAGCAAGUAUGAUGGUCAGUUCUAAUGAUGAUCUUGCACGUAUUUCGUGUGUAUCUCAUCUCACAGGUGGAUUUAAAAAUCCCCGGGAAUUAACUUGGGUUACUGGUGUAGUUCUGGGUGUAUUGACUGCAUCUUUUGGUGUAACUGGUUAUUCCUUACCUUGGGACCAAAUUGGUUAUUGGGCAGUAAAAAUCGUAACAGGCGUGCCUGAUGCUAUUCCUGUAAUAAGAUCACCCUUGGUAGAAUUAUUACGUGAACUCUGCAAUGGAGCUACCAACUAAAUUAAUUUCUGAGUCAAUAUCCUUAGUUUCUAUUAACUCGGGCUCUUUUUUUUUCCUAUCAGUAUUGACGUUUUAUCACAUUGCUUUUUAUGAGAUUGUUCAUAAACCAUACAUAUUGGAAUUCGAUUAUAUCAUUAUUAUUUUUCUCUCUCUUUCUUAUUGAAGUAUUAAGGAUUAAUAUUAUCUAAACUAAGUUAUGCUAAGUAGAUAGAUUGGCCCACACUCAAGGCCAAUAGAAUAGUUAGUAUAAAUAGUAUUGUUGUAAUUAUUUUAUUCACUUUUGAUAAAUCUUAAUACAAAGCAAAAUCCUAGGAUUUUUCAAACGUCUCAUCUCCCCUCCGCGACUCCUCACUAUCCUCCCCGGUCUCCCAACACUGCUCCGACUCACACGUCACCGGACUCACUACUUUCUUCAUGGUAUCAGAAUCCUCGUGAAGUGCUGCGUCGACGGUUGCUCUAGGAACUCCCAAAUCAAAACUUCAUCCGCACAGUCGCUGUUCAAAGCAAAGCUCCUCAAACCGCGUUUGAUUUCAAAUUAUGGCUGAAAAGGGACCAAGAGGAGGUCCACUCUUUGAUCCCACAUCCCCCUACUUCAUCAAAUCAUCUGACUCUGGCCCUUUAUCAGUUAUCAAUGUAUUACAAGGCAGUCAAAAUUACUAUCCUUGGAGUAGGGAGAUGACCACUAUCUUACUGACAAGGAGGAAAUUGGGUUUUAUUCUGGGAACAAUCAAAAGGUCUGCUGUUGAAGAUGCAGAAGAACUUGAGGCUUGGACCACCUAUCAUGGAGUGGUCAGGCAAUGGAUCUGAAGCUCAGUCUCCAAAGAUAUAGCCUCACAGAUCAUGUACACUGAUGAUGUCUCAGUGGUCUGGAAUGAUCUUAAAGAUCAGUUCAGACAAUCAAAUGAGACUCACAUUUAUCAACUAUCUCAAGAUGUUUCCAUGAUAUAACAAGGCAAUGACUUUGUCUCAAAGUUCUGCUCAAAUCUGAAAUCCAUUUGGAGAGAAGUUGAUGCAUAUGGUGAGACACCUCAGUGUAGUUGUGGAAAGUGUGCCUGCAACAUGAGUGGCAGGGUUACUGACAGGGAGGACAGACUUAACAUCAAGAAGUUCCUCAUGGGAUUAAGAGAUGACUUCAGACAAGUCAGAUCUUACAUUCUCUCAAUGAAAAAAUUGCCAAAUUUUGGUAAGGUCUAUUCCAUGGUAAUUCAUGAGGAAUCACGUACAACAACUUUCUGAACACAACAACAGUCACGAAGCCUCUGCUUUCUACUCAGCUAGAAAUCAAAGUUCAAAUAGACACUUCAACGACGACGACAACAAUGCUUCAUCAUCACAAGCACCAUAACCAUCUUAUGCUCCAGCACCCCCAAAUACAAAGAAGAGACCUCCCAUUCCAACUGAGCCUCUUUACUACAAAAGUGGCAAACAAGUCAACACCAGCUAUUAUUGCUUCCACUGUGCAGCCUUUGGGCACAGUGAUGAAAAAUGUUUUGUCCAACAUUGGCACCCUUCAUCCAAGGGCACCUCAUUCACAAGGAAAGCCAACCCUACAGUGACUUCAACUGCUGAAACAAACAAACCACAGGGCUCAGCCAACUGUGUAUCUACUGAAGAAGAUUGGUCUGCCUAAUCUGCAUGGGACAAGAGUAAGAAGAAGACCGAGGACUCUGAAAAUCCAAUUGGCCCUCAUGAGUUCCCCCUAUACUCAGAGAAAUACAAUCCCAAGCCUCUUCCCAAAUACACAGGCUCAGGUACUGCAAAUUCAAUUCUUAAUGACAACCAUCUAAAACAAUAUUGGAUCAUUGACUCAGGUGCAUCUGAUGUGGUUGAAUUCCUAAAGGACAAAGGAAUUAUCCACUACUCUAGUUGCCCACACAAACCACAACAGAAUGGUGUGGUUGAAAGGAAACACCAACAUUUUUUGAAUGUUGCUAGAGCACUAAAAAUACAGUCCUCAUUACCCAUUGAGUUAUAGGGUUAUUCCAUACUUCACUCUACAUUCAUCAUAAACAAAUUACCCUCCAAGGUAACACAAAAUCUCUCACCCUAUGAGCUGAUACACUCAAAAGAGCCAAAAUUCCAGAGCCUUAAGACAUUUGGAUGCCUAAGUUAUGUGACAUGCCUCACAAAAGAGGACAAAUUCUCUCACAGAUCAAGAAAAUGCAUUUACUCGGGUCAAUCUCCAACCCAAAAGGGUCACAUUACAUAUGAUCUAGACAACCAUAACAUCUCUGUUAGCAGAGAUGUGAUAUUUUAUGAAAAAAUAUUUCCUCUUAAGGAGGAAGGAAAUUCAGAUGAACCAAGCCCUAAAAAACACAUAAACCAAGAGGAGAGUGACGCACCAUCCUCUGAAACAGAUGAUGAGAGUACUCUUGAAACACCCACUGAGACUGUGAAAAUUCAAGAACAAAUCAAUGACCAAUCAGUAGAGGUAGAUAAUCCCUCAUCAGAAUCCAACACAAAUCCUAGGAGAUAUCCUAGGAGACAGACUAGACCACCAACAAAGUUAGAUGACUACUACUAUUCCUUUGCAACCAGUGAAGGAAAAUCAAGAGGGACAUCAUUCCUAAUGCAUGACUAUCUAGCCUACAAGAGGCUAUCCACCUCCUACACUAAUUACCUAGAUAAAAUAUCCAUAACCACUGAACCAUCCUCAUUCCAACAAGCAAGCCAAAGCCCUGAAUGGGUAAAAGCUAUGAAUGAAGAAUUUUCUGCCCUAAAACUAAAUGACACAUGAGAAAUGGUACCCAAACCAAAAGGCAGAAAGAUAGUAGGAUCUAGAUGGGUAUAUAAGGUCAAAUACAAAUCAAAUGGGGACAUUGAAAGACUUAAGGCUAGAUUGGUGGCCAAGGGCCAUACUUAAGUAGAGAUUUUGACUACAGAGAAACUUUCUCCCCAGUAGCCAAGAUAAUAUCAGUAAGAACCCUACUUGCAGUAGCAUCCAUUAAGAAUUGGUCAACAUACCAAAUGGAUGUCAGCAAUGCAUUCUUGCAUGGUGACCUAUCAGAAGAAAUCUAUAUGUCACCACCCCCUGGUAUGUUAUCACCAAAUGACUCUAGAGUUUGUAAAUUUAAAAAAUCUUUAUAUGGUCUAAAGCAAGCCAACAGAAAUUGGUAUAAGACACUACAAGAAAUACGACCUUGUAUGACGGUUUUUAAAUGUCGGAUUUCCGCUAUCUAAAGACCGCGCCAUGGUAAUGACCGCCAUUAUAACCCCAUAACCGUCAUCUAUUAUUUAUCACUAUUUCCCACCAAAAAUAGUAUAGAUGACGGAUUUCAGCCAUCUAAUCUGAAAAUUUUCGCCAUGUAACUGAAAAUUAUAAGAUGGCGGACAUCCGCCAUGUAAAAUAUGGUGCAAAAAAAGUUGGCGCCAAUUCAUCGAUGGAGGUUAAUUUUAUUGAUGGCGGAUGUCCGCCGACUAUCUUUAUAAUAUUAGAUGGCGGAAAUCCGCCAUCAUAAGUACGUUAGGCCGUUGCCUGCGAAUAUAGAUGGUGGACGUCCGCCAUGUAAACUUUAGUUUAAUAGUAUGGAUGGCGGAAAUCCGUCAUACAAUGUUUGUGUUAUUUUUUUUAAAACAGACUAUUAUAUUAAACGUUCGAAUCGUUAUUUUUUUGAAUUAGAAUACGAUAUUUGAAAAGUUGAUUUUGAAAUACAGAAUCGUUAAACAUUCGAAGUUUAAAAACGAAAGUACAAGUUUACAAUAUUAAUCAACACUCAUUGGAAAUAGAGUCGUCCGAAUCUGAAUUCGAAUUAUCUGAUUCUAAUGCAGACGGUAUGCUGGACUUCGAAGUGGACGCAAUGCUCGUCAAAUCUAGUCCGGAAGCCUUCAAAGCUUUAGUCAUCUGUUUGAACGUCGAUUUCAUUGAUUGAAACUUCUUCUUGUAUUUCGAGAUCCCUUUUUGACUCUCGUUAUACUUGUUCUGAAAAUUAAAACAUAAAUGAGUUCGAUAAUCAAUAAAAUUAAUGAAUUAUAUUUAAAAUACCUCCAAGUUUUUGCUUGUUCCGUCAACAUAUUUCAAUCGUCAUUAGCAGACGUGUUUUCGGAGACAGACUCUUUUCCUUUCCAAUUUGGAGAAGUCCAUUUUUCGUUCGUUGUACUAACCAUACUGGUCGCUUCUCCAAUCCCUAAAAUCCUAUUCUUUUAUAUUUUUUCCGAAAGUCUUGUUGACCGUCACUUCGAUAAAUUGCUGUAUUACCAGAUCGCUCAUGUUAUGAUCUUCUACAUCUUAGGUCUCCCUGUUCCGUCAUCUGGCUUAUGUUCUUCAUGUAGCAUUCAGACCAAAUGACUCUAUGAAAUUACGUCGAUACUUCCAUAUAUCACGGGUAACGUAGAAGACAUCUCUAUUUUUCCUCGGGGAUUCUUAUAAUUACCACUGCUUAGUUUUCAAUUCGCCUCUGACCAUCAAAUUAAAUGUGAAUAACCCAUCUCCCUCUUUUUGAAACAAGGGACGCUUCCGGUUCUGUUCGUGCUUCAAACAAUUUUGUCUUCUCCAUAUUACCAUAUCUCUAGAGUCAAUAAUUUUCUAUGAAGAACUACUGAACUCAAUCACUUGUUGCCGUUACUCAACAGUUUUCUGUUGAGGUCUAUCCCGUAGAGGUAUUCAAAUUGGAUCAGUAAUCGAUUUAUAGGUUUCGUCGUAAACCUAAUUGGUUACUUCCAAUUACGUAAAUCAAUAGUACAUUUCAAUUACGUAAAUCAAUAGUACGUUCAAACCACACUCAAAGGUAGAGCAUUUCCCAUUGAUAUAGAAACUUUUGUAUCAGAAACAAUGGUAUCCCCCUCUGGGAUGUAAAAUAUAUCUCUUCUCACCAUCCUCAUAGUGUAUGAGACAAAUGUAUGCAUUUCGAUUAGGAUCGUAUUCUAUGGUUACGAUUCUACCAGAUAUGUCUUUUUCAUUCCGUUGAAAAUCUAUUUUACGGUAUAGACGCUUACGAUCUCCCCCUCUAUGCCCCACGGUAAUGAUUAAUUCUUCUCGCAUUAUGACCUUUACCACAAUGAUGCUGUCCAUAGAUUAAAUUUUUCUGUGGAUUGGAUUUCACUUGACUGUCUACGGCUCUGUUGCGUGUACUCCGGGUAGAAGUUUUGUAUAAAUGUAUCGCCAUGUUAAUGUUAUUAAGUAUUUUGCUUUAAGUUCUUUUCUCUAUAAGAGGUGGAAUAUAAUAACCCGGUUGAAGCGUAAUGAUCAUACGUCUGUAAUUGUAAUGCAUUGUAUGUCCCAUAAUAAGUCCCAUUCUUCUACCUUUUCUAGGGAGUCGAUGACUAUUCAUAGCUAUUACCUUGACACCAAAGAAGAGUUCGACCCAAUGCUUUAUUUCUGUUCUAGUUGAUCCUGAUUCGACAUUAGAAGUAUAUUGAUUGUUCUCCAAUAAUCGAAUACUUUUUUCUGUAAAUACUGCAUAUUUGAUUCCAUCCAUAAAUCCAUUUUCUUCCCUAUGAGUUCCAGUAUCGAUAAGAAUUCUAGUUCUUAUUGUUCGUAUGUUAUGUAUGAACAUACCAUACCAAUUCGUUAUGUAUGGAUGAUGAAAUUCUAUAUAUACAGAGUCAAUUCCAAUGGACUUAUUGAACGUUCCCAUUGACGUGCAUCCAGCAGGAAUUGAACCUACGAAUUUGCCAAUUAUGAGUUGGCGCUUUAACCAUUCAGCCAUGGAUGCUUAAUGGGUAUAUGGUAUCGUGAUUGAAUUGUAUUGUAUCGUAUCGUGAUUGAAUUGUAUUGUAUCGUGAUUGAUUUUUAAUUUAAACGGAAUCUUUAACAGGAAGCAACGAAACGAUCAAUAGAAGAAAUCGAUGAAAGUUCAGGAAUCCAUAAAACAAUAUCAAUGUAAAUUGUGGAUCGUCGAAUUGAAAGAGAUAUUGAGAGAGAUCAAGAAUUUUCAGUAUUUCUUAGAUUUAUGGAGAAAAUUCGAUUCCGUGGGAUAUUUCACUCACAUUUUUUUCUAUCAAGAGUGUUUUCUUAAACUCUUUGACCUCCGAAUUUGGAAUAUCCUACUUUUACGUGAUUCACAGGGUUGGUUCAACAAGUAAUCGAUAUUUCAAAGGUGUAGUACUGCUUAUUGUAGGGGUUCCUUUCAAGCGCUCGGAAAAUGUUAAUUUAUUCAUGAGCUCUAUUUACAAAAUACCGUUUCCUUGAUGAGUUUUAAAAAAGAUUGUUCGAGACCUGUAUAGGCCAUUUUAUUUUUAAUUUUUUGACAGUUAAUUGAAUUGAUAUUUUCUUAAUCGACGUGAUGUUUUCAUCUCACCUCAAAACGACAAUACUGAUGCACAUUUUUCACUCUUAAAUCUUCGAUCAUCUUACCACCCUAUAACUUCUUCUAAUCUUCUUCCUGAUCACCAAAAUUUAGUUUCUUUUUUUUUUUAAAUUCUAAAUCGGUUAUCUCCAUCAGCUGUUUGCGUUUAUAAUCGAAUGAGAUUGCAACUAUUUUGCAAGUUCCAGAUUAAAUGAGAUUUUAGCAAAUGGGUCUGAGUGUUUGAUUUUGCCUCAACUUUUGCGCAAUCAAAUAUACGAUUCUUUGAUUAAAUUAUAUUUUUACCAACUCUGAUUCUCUAAUGCUUGAAUCUUGAUCAAAUUAAGGCCAAAUAUUACCAAUUACUUAAUGAAUCAUACUGUAUUUUAAAAUAAACCGAGUCAAUCGUUUUAAACAAAAAACCUAACUCGAAAUUUUAAUUUUUUUUUUUGUAUCGAUUCAUACUCUAAUAAGACUAACAAAAAUCAAUCAUCGUUCUCAUUGUGAAUACAUGAAACUUAGAAUUACAAAAACAAAGCUUAAUAUAAUAAGCAAAGAAUUAACAUGCUUUCGUAAAAAAAAUUAAGCUCCAAAAUUGAAUAUCUUAAUAUAAUAAAUUAGACAGAACAACAAGCUCGACAAUCCAUAUUAUCUAUCCAUUCUAGAUCGCAAACAACAUGAUAAUACAGCUUUACCAAAAGGAAGUAAUCUCUAGAUAUGUCUUAAUCACCCUUCUUCCGAAAGGAGCAGCCUUCAGUGAGUCUAGCUUUGCCGCCAGUAGGCUGACAUAAAAUCGUCUGGCAAUUGGAGCACACAACAACUGUUUGAGAGUGGCUAAAAACUGUAGUUCUGCGUAAAAGAAAGAAAACAAGUACAUGAUUAAACCCUUGUUAAAUAAAAAAGAUGAAUGAUUAUUUAGAUCAAUGCAAAUAUGCAAUAUCGAUUCUUCUGUGUAUUUCAAGGUAUAUUACAAACAUCAUUUAUAACUAAAAAUGCAAUAUCAAUUUCAAUUAACAUUACAAACAUGAAACAUCAUUUAUAAAAAUUGUGUUCAGGUUCAAUACACAAUACUUAAUAUCCAUGAUCAAAUAAAGUUUUUUGUCACAUAUACUUAGAUAUUUCAAAAAGAUAUUUAUAGUUCACAUUAAAUUUAACUCUCUUUUAGUAGAGGAGCAGAGAAAGACUUGUGAGAAAUGUCAGUCCUUCCCAAAAAUCGGAAUGUAGCAGCAAGGAAUAAUCUCAAAUAUAUCUCCUUGAGGAAAAUAGGGCUUCUAAAAGCCUGUCGUCUUUCAGUAAUAAAAACUAAUCCAUUUCCAUCGGGUUUCCUCAUUUAAUUAAUUUAAAUUUAUAUAAGUACUCUGACUCAAUGUUUUGAUUUAGUCAUCACUAUACACUAGCAUUUAAUUUUCUAAUGCGAUAUUAGCAGUACUGCUAAUAGCACCUAAAUGAUUUAGAGCAAUUUAGUUACACUGUUUUAAUGCGCUAUUUUGUCGCAAAAUUACGUUAAUAGCUCAUUAAUUUUUUUUGUAAGUUAAUGGCUAAAUAGGUAAUGGACCUAUAUAUUAUAUCAUAAGAUAUAUUAAAAGUUAUAACUUAAGGGUAAAAUAGUAAAAUAAAUUAUUUAUUUGAUUAAAAUUAUAACCAUUGGAAUGAAUCAAACCAUUCCAACAGAUCUCCCCCUCCCUCUAUCUUUCUUCUUCUUCCUUAUUUACUGAUUUCCAGACUAUUUUCGAAGUCUUCAUCUCCAUUUUCUCCAAGUCUCUAUCUCCAUUAUCUCAAGGUCUCCAUCUUCACAAUCCUAUCUUCAAUUCUCCAAAUCUACAUUUUCCAAUUCUUUUCUGAAAAUCCAGACUUCAUCAAAGACUACAAUUCUGCAAAAACCGUCACAGAACGAUUUUUGAAGAAUAGCUCAAUUCUGCAAAUCCAACUUCAGAGCAUGCAAUUUCAAAAUCCAGAGCCCUUCUCCGUGUUUCCUUGUGAACACGCUUGGUUUGAUUCUUUUAACUCUAUUUAUUUUCGUAAUUAGAUUUUAUUCAACCUCAACCAAAUGAUUUUUCCCAUGUAAAACCCAAAAAUUCUAAGGAUCCUAGUUGAAGAAAUGCUUGCUAAAAAUUGAGGCCAGAUUCAUCAUCCGGCGACAAUGACACAUCAACGACUUAAGGAGACACUCAAUGGAAGAAAUAAAAUACCACAUAUGACUAUGAGAGUAUGAAAAGUCAUAAAACCUAUCAUGUAUCUCUAUUUAUCUAUUUCUAUAAUUCUAUUUGCUAUCUAUGAUCUAUCUAUUUUGGAAAUAUUUCUAUUCCAAUUUCUAUUGUAUGCUUUAUGUUUUAAUGAAAUGAUUAAGUGAAUAAUCUUUAUUUUAAUUUUUAAUCAAUGAAAUCUCUUCAAAUAAAUAAAUAUAUUUUUCUGAUUUUUUUUGCCCAAAAAAAUUUUAGCCACAGCUAAAUCGCUAGUAGCGACUAAUUUCCUAAUGCACUAAAUGCGCUAUUUAUGAUUCCAGAAUAUUGCUCUGACUGAUGACUUAUCAAGACACCAGUCAACCGACCUAACAAAGGCAUGGCACUCAGCAUGCAACUAAACACUGUUUAUGUGCAGGCAUCAUAAACAACGUAUUUAUGAAUUAGGAUGGUAAAUUUAAUAUGCUAAAUUACUUCCAGUAUCUAUGUUGAUGUCAGUUUGGAGUGGAGUGUAUUAGAAGAUCUUCAGGUUCAACAUUCAUGACUCGUGAAGCAGUAGAAGAAAAGGUGAAAGUAAAGAAUGUUCAGCUGAUCUUGAAGAAGUUAUUAAGUAAGGUUAACUAUGCCAAAUUUAUAGUUAUGUAAUAUGAUAUAAAAUAAAUUUUAUUUAUAAAUCAAAACACAAAAAAUUGAGAUUAUUUUUUAUAGUAAUAUAGUUGUCUAAUAUCUACAUCAUACAUUCAUACCUAACUAAUAAAUAAAAUUAGUUAGAUUAACAUACAUGCCUCCAUUGCAAUGAAAUGAAUGGAUAAGGUAAUUACUAGUAGCAAGUGUAUAUAUGCUACCAGAUUCAAUGGAAUACUGAAUUAUAAGAGUAUCACUCUCUCCUACAUAACUACACCUUUCACUUAUAAUUUUUAUUAUUAAUUGAUAUAAAAACAAUCAAAACAUUGAAACUUAUUUGAAUAGGAAAAAAAUUGAUUGGCUUUGAUAGAUGAGUGUGUUCUAACUGACACUGAUUAGUUUAAUUAAAUUUUUAUUUGCUUGUAAAAAAGAAAAAUUUAUGAGUGCUGCAAUGCAGUACCGAUGAAAAAAACACAAUGCAGGAGAUAAGAUCUUACAUGUUAAAGCACCCUUGGCAUUUAACAUCCUACAAUGAAAACGCAAGAUCAGUAAUCAAUAUCAAAUGUCAAAAAAAAAGCAAGCAGGCAAAAAAAUGUCAGCAUAAGUUAACCAUGAAGAAGGAAUUUGGCGACUGAACAAGACGCUUCAACUUGUGCCUCCUCUUCUCAAGAUCGACAGGAGGGUUGAGCAGAUCAACAUCGUUGGGGAGAACCUAAACAUGUAAAAAUCAUGAGAAUGGACAAAAAAGGAAAAAUUAAAAGUUGAUUAUUUGGUCGACGUUCCCACCAUCUUAAAUAGGCGGCGGGGAAAGGGGGAAAAAGAAAACCCUACUGAAAGUCUGAAACUGGCCAAACGAAUAGAAAUAGGGAUCUUAUUUAUAUGAAUUAUAUUCGGAUCAUAACGAAAGAUCCAUGUCUGAUAACCCAAAUAUAGGUAAAGUCCAAACCCUAAACGACCAAUUCUUUAAAGUCCAAACCCUAAUCGAUCGGUUAAUCCUGGAAAGUCCCAUUUCCUUCCCAAGCGGCCGUCGGAUAACCUAUUCCCACUAUAAAAAGUCACCGACCAUCUUUUCUCUACGGAUUUUUUUUCUCCAAGCCGCUUGUUAAGCUCCUUAUUUCUUUCGUAUGUUCUUUUGAUAAUCUAUGUUGUUGACUUGUUAUGAUUUUUAUUUUUUAAUGAAUGCACACUAGAAAAAAAAGUCUGAUCAUCACCAUUGCUCUGCUGAUUUUAAUCAUCACUGGUUUUGAAUUGUUUCUUGGUUACUUUCUUUGGAAGCUAAAAAUUUGCACUAGAAUUAUUAAUUUAUUGAAAUUAACUCUCAAAAUCCUUUUUUUUGUAUUCUUCAGUCUAACAAAACGAACCUGUAAUGGGAAAGCGAGGAUCAAAGAGCAAUAAGAGGUCUGGCGCUUCUGCUAGAUUUAGCAAUUCGACUAAAAAACGUCGGGAUGCUGAUCCAGGCUUCGGAGGGGAGGAUGAUUUGGACGACCAAAUUGAUACAUGUGUUGUCUUAAAGCUGAAAUUUUUCAUUGACAUUAGUUUUUACGGGUUACACAUUAACGUUUUUUUGUCUGCUAUUUUUUUUUGUCUCAGUUCAUAAAGAAAGAGAUAUAAUUCCUCUCGACAUUAACUCUGGUAAUAAAAUCGUUUUAUAUUCAAGCAAUGACUGCUCAAUCCUUGUUUUAUUUUAUUUUAUUUUUUUGGUAGGUGAUAUUUCUGAUGAUGACGAUGCGGAGCAUCCUGUCUUUGAUUUUGAGGUACAUGGAUAUAAGUAUAUACUUGGUGCUGAAUGCUGAUUGCUGAAUUUAUGACCUAAUGCAAAUUUUUUGUAUCGUUAAAUGGAUAAGUCCUUUGAAAUUUGAAUUGUGUCAGCACUUUCCUUGUCUUAAUAUUGAUUCAUUCUUGUUUGACCUGGUUUAAAUUAUUUAUAAAGGAUGAUGACAGCAAUGACAGCGAUGACAGUAAUAAUAAAGAUAAUGACAAUGGUGAUGACGAGACUGUCGAUAGACUUCCACGUUUUGCGGCAAAAAGUAAGUUACUAAAGCAUAAAGAACUCUAGAAUGAAUCUCAGUGUCCUACAUUUUUGUUCAUUUUAUUUUUCUUAAAACCCCAAUAUAUUUCAGGUUUCUCAAAUGAUUCUAGUAUUUUUCAAACACUCCGUUAAUCUUCACCUAGCAGUGGAUCUAUCUAUUCCCAUUGUUUUUGUGUUUGAUUUCUUUUGAUGUUUAUUUUAUUCUUCUUUUUUUGACUUUCUUAAUAACAAUUAUAUAGUGGCGAGACAAGAAAAAUAUUUAAAGCAACAAAUGGGAGGAAUUGAUAAUGAUAUCCAUGAUAUGGAUGGUGAAUCUGAAGAAGAAAAAAAGAUGGUGUGGGGAAAACAUAAAGAUAUGUACUUCAAUGCUGAUAAUGGUGACAACGAGGCAAGAGCUUUUAAUCCAUUUUCCCACUUUACUCGAGCAUAGCUAUACAUUUCUUUAUGUGAAUAUUUUGGUCUUCUUUUGGAUUUUUAGAAAUAGUCUGCUAUCUGACUAAAGAAAUAAUCGAUGUUACCUUUUUUUCUUCUCUUUAGUGAUAUGUAGAUAUGGCAUGCUGUUUAAUUUUAUAGAAAUCAGUAAUGACAUGAUUUGUUCCGGGUCCCAGCUAUGUAGUGAUAGACUAAUGCCUCAAAAGGUUGGACUCCCAUAACAAUAUGGCUUCCAUUUCAAUCUGGUGAAGAUUUAUUUUUCUGUAGGGUGUAGCACCAUGUCUCAAUUAGUAGUUAGUUAUAUAAGGUAAAUAAUUGAGUAUUCCCAAGUAGGGAUGUAAACGACUCGAGUCGAGCUUUGAAAGAAUUGGUCGAAUUUGAUAAAAAAAUUCUGAGCUCGAAUUUGAUAAGGUCGUUAAAGCAAAAUUUGAAAUCGACUCGACAUCAACUCGAAUUAAAAAAAAUUAGGAUUAUUUCUGGAUUCGGACAUUUGGUUAUUUAUAUUAUUGUAUAUUAAAUUUUAACCUUUAAUAAUUUAAAUUUUAAAAGAAGGAAAAAAUAUAUUGGGUUAUUUAUAAAUUAUAACCUCUAUAUAAAAAUAUAAAAAAUUAUAAAUAUAUUUUUUAAUUUUCUUAUCAAGCACCUUACCCGAAACUCGAACUUGACUCGACAAGUUUAUCGAGUACCAAUAUCCAAACUUUUAAAUGCACGAUAGCGCUAUGCGUCAGAGGUAUUUUCGUAAAUAAUUUAAAAAUAUAUAAAUUUCAUAUAUUUAUAUACUUAAUUCAGAUAUCCCUUAAAUAUUUAAUUCAGAUAUUUUUAAAUACAUAAAUCAGAUAUUUUUAUUUCAUAUAUUUUGGUUUUUUCACCUCAUAACCAGUCGCGAAGGUCAGAGGAGGGAGUCUUGAUUGGGGGAGGAUUAGGGAAGAUUGGAGGAAGAUUAGGAAAGGUUUUAGGGUAUGCCUUGCGUUUUCCAAAAUACAAGGGAGCCCCAAAUUUUUUUAAAAAUAAAGUGAAGCGGAUCUGGGUUCAGAUUUUAGAUCUUUUAGAACCAUGCCAUUAUUAAACUCGAACUCGAUUCGUUAAACUAUCGAAUCGAGCUCUAGCUCGUGCUGUUCACGAGCUUGAGCUCAAUUUGCAUCCCUAUUCCAAAGUAAGCAUAUUAACCUAUUCAAUAGAACUCACACUGGAUCAGAUUUUUCAUCUUUCUCUCAUUAUUGCUGUUGUAUCUUACCUUCAAAAUCCAUUUUAAACUUACAUCCAGCAUUUCUUCUCCUAUUUAUUUUAAUUUGUAAUAUGCAGCUAACAAGUAGUGAUGAUGAGGAUCUAUGUGCUGAAGAAAAUGAAGCAUUGAAAAUGCAAAGAGAGAAAGCGAAAUCCUUUACACUGGCAGAUUAUGGUUUUGAUGAGGAUGAAAUAGAUAAGGACAGAAAAGAAAGCACAUCAAAGUCCGAAAAUAAAGCCAUAGAAGAAUCUUUUACUGAUGGAAUCCACAAAAGGAAUAUGUGUGAAGAAGUCAUCAAUGUUAAGAAAGAUGUGAAUGCUUUGUCAAAAGAGGAUCAGAUGAAUGUUGUGUAUAGGUAAUUCCUUUUAAAUCCUUGUAUUUUUUUAAACACGAAAUACAAACAUCAAUUUGCCAUUGGAAGCACAACACACUAUUUUUACUAACCUAUAAUUUUUGAAGUCAAUUGCCAUCUUAAACUCCCUAAAAAGAAUAAAAAACCCAGCACAGCCACAGUGUAUUAUGGGUUAUGAAACAAAGAUAAAAAAAGGUACACCACCUCUUCUUAUUUCGACUCUUUAUAUGUUUUUGCAGUUCUGCUCCAGAAUUAGUUGGUCUUCUUUCAGAAUUAAAAGAGACAAUUGCUCAGUUUGAAACUGUGGAUGGUCUGCUUUCCAAGGUAUGUUGACCUUUAACAUUUCUUUGAAAUUGUUAAAAUUGCACAAACCCGUUUAUUUCUAUUCUUAUGGUGGUGUAUUUUUCCAUUUAUUAUUAUUUCAUUCACUUUUUCUAUGUGAAAAACUUCCAAGCUUUAUUCACUAUAUUCAGGGAGUUGGAUCCAUUCCGUAAAAAAGAGUAACAUCAUGAUAAUCUUUUUUUACUUAAUGGACAAUGCAUAGUUGCAUACUAUAGAGAAUUUGGAAUCUGUUUGCAGAUCAAAGAAAAAGAACAUGUAAGGGAAGGAGCAGUGCACUAUAUUGAGCUUAAGAGGAUGUUGCUGCUGAUAUAUUGCCAAGCUAUUGCUUUUUAUCUUCUUCUCAAGUCAGAGGGCCACUCGAUACGGGACCAUCCUGUAAUUGCCCGUCUUGUUGAGAUUAAGAAUUUAAUUGAAAAGGUUAAUUUAUCAAUCCAGAAGAUUUCAAGUUAUAUAUUUUUAAAUGUAUGCAAUCAGUAAUAUGGAUGAGUUACAAAUCAAUUUAGUUUCGAAUAUUAAUACAACAUGCAUAAUAAAUUUCUGACAAUUUGGUAUACUUUAUAGGUUAAAAAUAUAGAUGGGCGUAUCCCAUUUGAUAUUGAAGAAAUUCUAAAUAAUGAUCAUGCGAAUCGUGGAUAUAAAAAAAGCGUUACUUCAGAAUCACAAUAUGGUGCCAUAGGAAUAUCAACUGAUUCAUACGAAGUUCCAAAGGUAUACAUCUUAUUAGUUUUGAAUUAGUUUAUCCCUUCUGGUAUGCAAAUAUAUUUAUAAUAUAUUUCAGGAUCUAGCACAAGAGGUUCUUGAAAAUACCACUCUUAAAGACAAGGUUUGUAAUGAUCAAAUUUGUAUUUUCUUCUAAAUGUAAACAGGUGGCAUCAACUGCAUUUUCUUCUAAAUGUAAGUUUACCAUCGACGAAAAUUGUAAUUAUUUCAGGUCUUUCAACUGGGCCGUCAGAGUAAAGAAAUGCUUAAAGCCAGAACAAAACUUGAGGAAAAGUUAAAGAAAAAUGGCAUUUAUAACAAACUGAAGCAUGAUCCAGAUAGGCAGCAAACCACCUUUUCACAACCACCAACUAAGUAAUGACUCGUUAAAUAAUCAUACAAUUUAAGAAAUGUUGGAAAUAUUCUGCUCUCAUUCUUUUUUUAAUCUUUUAAAUAGGCGAGUUAAAAUAUUUGAAGAUUUCGAUGAUGAAGUUGCGGAGUGUCGAAGUAAUUUGUUAAAAUCAAGCAAACUCUCUCAAUUAGUUGCAACUAAGAUGAAUAAGCCUAUGGUAUGUCAUGUCUGCAGUGUAUUUGUAGAUGUAUUUCUUUUAAUACCUGAUCAAUUUCUCAUUUCUAUUGUCAAGAUUAGAGGUAGCUGGGUAAGUAAAACUGUACCCUCAACUCAAUCCCAUAGCUGUGAAAGGUUGUGAAUUCAAUUCCUACCAAACCAAAAUAGUUUUGAAUUUAUCAUAGUUUUGAAAGUGCCGCUUUAAGCACGCUAAAGCUUUAAAGCUCUCUUGGAGGAGCGCUUUUCCUAGAGCGGGUUCGGGUGAUGAUCCGCCCGAUUAGGCGAUUACCCAAUUACACCUAUUUUUUAAUAAUAUAUUCACCUAAUAGACUUUUUUUCCUAUUCUAUCUUAAAUUAAACUCUUACUCCACUUUCAGAUUUUAGUAUGAAUUAAAUCUUUAAUAUUCUAUUACAAGUGAUUUUAUACUUUUAUAAGGGAUUUGAAUAGAAGAAAACCCAAUCCUUGUCUAACCCUAUGUCCCUAUGGGCUGUGUCAGAUUCAAAUCUGCACUUUCCUAACCCUUAUCUUUCUUUUGUUAACAUAUCUCAAUUUUAAAGGAUUACUUGAUUGUAUAUUUUCUUCUUUCGCUCAAAUUUUCCAGUGUUGAUUGGGUAAGUAAAACUGUACCCUCAACCCAAUCCCAUAGCUGUGAAAGGCUGUGAAUUCAAUUCCUACCAAACCAAAAUAGUUUUGAAUUUAUCAUUGUUUUGAAAGUGCCGCUUUAAGCACGCUAAAGCUUUAAAGCUCUCUUGGAGGAGCGCUUUUCCUAGAGCGGGUUCGGGUGAUGAUCCGCCCGAUUAGGCGAUUACCCAAUUACACCUAUUUUUUAAUAAUAUAUUCACCUAAUAGACUUUUUUUCCUAUUCUAUCUUAAAUUAAACUCUUACUCCACUUUCAGAUUUUAGUAUGAAUUAAAUCUUUAAUAUUCUAUUACAAGUGAUUUUAUACUUUUAUAAGGGAUUUGAAUAGAAGAAAACCCAAUCCUUGUCUAACCCUAUGUCCCUAUGGGCUGUGUCAGAUUCAAAUCUGCACUUUCCUAACCCUUAUCUUUUUUUUGUUAACAUAUCUCAAUUUUAAAGGAUUACUUGAUUGUAUAUUUUCUUCUUUCACUCAAGUUUUCCAGUGUUGAUUUUCUCUCUUUCUUGAUGCUAUGAUAUCUAGAAGUUGGUUUCUGGUGAAGAUGAUUUGCCAAUUAGGGAUGAUAUUGGUGAGAGAAGAAGAAAACAUGAAAUUCGUGUUCUUUCAAGAGCAGGGUCUGGUUUGAUGGAUGCUGAUAUGACAAUUGAACAUGAAGGUCAAGAAAAAAAAGAUUUGAACAUGGACCAGAAUGGUAGUGAUGAUGACGAAGACGACGACGACGAUGAUAUUGGUAGAUCGGAAGAUUCAGAGGAUGAUUUUUAUAAGCAGGUAAAAGGAGAUAUAAUUUCCAAACGUUCAGCCAAAGCAGAAACCAAAAAAAGGUAUGCCGAAUUUUAUAAUUUUGAUACAAAUCAAGUAGUUUAUAUCUUGUCCAAGUCUGAUGAUAACUUAUUAUAUCUUAACAGCACUCCAGUUGUGAUUUCCUUGCCUGAAACCGAAGCAGAUGGUAAACGACACAUCUCAUACCAGGUAAGUCAAUCAACAUACCAUUGUGACUUGUGAGCAGAUCCUUGUUUCAUUCAUUCAUUCAUUUGCUUCUUCAUUACACCACCACCAGAUGGAGAAAAACAAAGGACUCACUCGUUCUCGGAAGAAGGAUACGAAAACCCCUCGAAAGAAAUACAAGGCAAGACAGAGUUGUUCAAUAAAUAUUUAGAAUUUGUUUCGUAGUUUUUAUCAGUAUUUGAAAUAUUCUUAAUUCAUCUGCUUUAAUUUUCCUAUUCAGAUCAAGCAUCAAAAAGCUGUUGUUCGCCGGAGGGGACAGGUUCGUGACAUUCGGAAACCUUCAGGUCCAUAUGGUGGAGAAGGUUCGGGUAUCAAUACCAACAUCAGUCGUAGUGUUCGGCUGAAUCAGUAGUGACUGUGAUAGUUAAAUAAACACUUGUUGUAAUAAUCAUAACUUUGUAAUUUGUUUAAAGUGUGAUUAACAAUUUAGUUUAGACUUAACUACAAACAAAUACCCAAGGUUUUAAGUUAAUCAUUUUAUGGAAUUGAUUUGAGUUGUUAAUCGUUUUUUUCACAUGUUUAAUUUGUAAACCUUGAUUUAAUUGACUAUAAUGAUUGAUCCACAAUAGACAAAAUAAAUAUGGAAUUUUAGUGUUGUAUUAUUAUUCUAUUGGAAGGAAUUUGGCUCUACAAUUCAAGUUAUCCAACAUAGAAACAAAUCCAUAUGAAGAUGCACACGGCACACAGACGAAGUAGAUGACAAACACGCUGUUUGGAUCUUGAUAGAAAAAAACCAAAAUAUGAAUGCAUGCUUACUACAUUAUCAUUGAAACCUAUGUGUUGGAUUACUUGCCAGAACUACAAGCCUCGUCGACAUUCAAACCAUGUGGUCCAAAGCAGAAAUAAUGAGUUCUAGACUUGGUGUUUUUAUUACCUUUCACUAACUCUGGUUUCGUGGAGGAAUUGGCCAUGGAUGAUGCUGACGAUGAUGAUGGUUCCUCCUCUCCCACUAUAUCCAUCUCCGUCGAACUAGCUGAUAUCAUUGAAGAACCAUCGACAGGGACUGGUGCUGGUGUGGAGGAGGAUGAAGAGGAGGAUUUCACUUGAGGAGCUAAAUGCGGCAUGGAUUGAAUCACACCUUGAGUUAGACUAGCGGUCAGUUUUUUCUUUGAUGAUGGACUUGUACUGGUUCUGACGGCGAGAGUUCGCUUGUUGUUCUGAAGUGAGCUUGUUUUCGAGAAUCGUUCCCGGAGUGAUGUUGGAUUGUCUUCUUUCCGGAUCAGAUUUUGUAAGUACUCGUCCUUUUUUCGACUCAGAUUUUUCAAAGAACCAGCUGAACAAUCGUCGUCAGUGCCAGUAGUGGGUGCAGACAAAGAGAGCGGAGUUUUGGCUUUUUUCUUUUCCCUCUUCAGAGGCCAACGGAGAAGGGUCUUCAGACGACUUGUGGCGCUACUCAUGGAAGAGCUAGGUUUCUUUUUGGUCUCUCCUGUUUCUUCCGGUAGGAUAUUCAUAUCAUUUUUACCGAUACUUGAGCAUGAACUAGGUCUUCCGCUUCCGACAGCACUGCCGGUAGUACCGGUGCCGCCACUUCCUAUGUCUUUGCAAAUACCUUCGGAAGAGGUUGUAAUGCCUGUGUAUAAGAAUAUCUCGGCAUCCGAUAUCCUGAACGAAGUUCCCGGACUGUUUAGGAUUCCCCUCCCCUGACUAGACUUCCGACGAUAACUCCUAUUGCAUAUUGCUGAGUUUUUUGCGAUGUUGCAGUUACUGGAGUUCGAUAGCCCUCCAGCAGAUAUCAACCGUUUGAUCAAUAUGUCCGAUGUUGCCGAUCUCGGUCGUUUAUUCAGUAGAUCCAAAGGAGUCAUCCCGUUGUGAUCUUGGACAUUAAGGUUGAUCGAUUUUGUGCCAAGGAGAAGAGAGACGAGUUCGCCGUGAAGAUUCCCGACGGCCAUGUGAAGAACCGUUCUUCCCUCGUUGUUGCGGUAAUUUACGAUCUCUUCGAUGUUGACUAAUGAUCCGUUAAUCAAUUCCUUGAUGAGAUCCAUUUGGCGAUCGAGUCUUCGGAAUCCUGGUGUUCUGAAUCCGGCCAAGGCGAUGUGGAGAAAGGUAUCACCCAUGGAGUUUGUGAGCGACAUAGCCGGGGGAGAUGCCAGUAUCAACGCUUGCAGACAUUGCAGAUGACCUCGGAAUGCCGCGACGUGGAACGACGUGUUUCCUUGAUCAUCUUUAGAGUCGAUUAUGUCGAAGGACGCGACGAGGUUUUUGACUACAUCGGUUCGACCUCUGGCGGCUGCGGCGUGUAGCACAGUGGAGCCGUGGAUGUCUCUGUAAAGUAGAAUAUCACGACAGUUACGAAGCAGAUCUCUGAGAAUCUCCCAACUUCCUCCUCUAGCGGCGGCGUGUAGAGCUCUGGUGAUCAUCUCCGAACGAAAAAGCAAAGCGUCCUCGUUUGUUCCCGUCAUCUCGACAUCUCGCAAUGACCGUGGCGACAUGGAGAAAUCAAACAACAGUUGGAAAACAUCGCAAGAAUUGCUCCUGGCGGCGGCGUAUAGUAUGUCCGUAACACCGAACUCACCUUCUCCGAAAACCAAAAGUGGAUCUCUCUGUAGCAAAUCGUGAACAAACCCCAUAUCUCCGGCAGACGCAGCGGUGUAAACCAACCAACCUCCGUAUCCAGUUUUGAUGAGAGAGUUAUCUCCGGGUGAAAUCUCACACUCAGAAAGCAAGCUACGAGCGACGUUGGACCUGCACCUAGCAACAUCGGCAUAAGCAGAGUCGUCAUCCCAGACCGUCUCGAGGCGGCGGAUCCUGCGGAGAGACGUGAGCUUGAUGAGGAGGUUUGGAUCAAUAUGCAGCAAUUCACGAACGAGAUCGUAGUGUCCGUUUGCCGCCGCCCAGUCUAUCGGCGAUGCGUACCACCAUUGGUCGCCUGUGCUCUCCCACCGGAGCGGAAAGUACGAUGGCGCCAUAAUUAGUUUGGGUCGUAUCCAAAAACAGAACUGAAGAUGAGCCAUGAGGAAUUUAGACGUUUAAUUACGGUUCGUUGGUACUAUUUCUAAUUUUUCGGAGGACUGAUGUUUAAUUUUUCAUUUUCUAAUAAUUUUCUUUCAAAAAGUGUGAAGGAAAAAAACUGCUUUCUUUCAUAAAGGUUUCAUAUUCUAAAGUGGCAAUGGUUGCCCACUAUUCCAUUAACCACUGGUCCAAUCAAUCAUGUGGAAUUUUCAUUUAUUUUUUUACCACCAUGUAACGUAGAUUGUAAAAAAAGUAUUUGGGCCUAGUGGGCCUAGCUAUGUGUACAGUGUGCACAUGCAGCAUAAAAGUCAUGUUGGAACUUGGUGGUUUAGAAAGAAAGAAAAAAACUUUUAUUUUUACACAUUCAAUCAAUCAGACUCUACCUAAUCUUGUCUUGCAGUUGCAGGAAAUAAUGUUGGGAUAAGAAGUGGAUAAAUAGAUAAUGGAUGGAAAAUAUAUAUAAAGAAAAUAGCCAUGUGAGUUUCAUGUUCUCCUCCAGCCUUUAGCAUAUGCAGCUAUCUCAACACUAACUGCCACUCCCAACACUAGUCAACAAUAGACUAGUUCAACUGAUCUUAGUUAUUUUUAGUACGAUUUAUCUGAGAGAUACCCUCAAUUAUAUUAAAAAAAAAUCUCUUUUUGUUUAAGUUUUCUAGGCCUGUCUCUUUGCAUGGACUGAGGAGACAUCGUUAUCAGUAAUUCAGCAUGAUAAUAACACUUUUGUAAUUGGGAAUAGACUUUAAUAAUUACAAGUCCUUAAAAGAAGAAAAACCUAUUUAAUAGCUGGAUUUUAAAAAGAUAAUUUAGAAGCAACGAGUUCAUUUUGUUAGGGUUGAGAUCUCAAGGAUUUAUUACUUUAUUAUUUAUAACUAUGAACCACAGACCGAUCGAACCGUCCACUUCCGAGGCCCGGCCGCGUGAAAGGACUGAGCCAUGGAAAGUCCAGAAGGCUAAGAGGCUCCUGGGAAACCCUAUAAGUACCUCUCCUGAUCCAACAGGGGAGGGGGUUGACAAUUUGUGAAAGAAACCUAUAAGUACCUCUCCUGAUCCAAUAGGGGAGGAGGUUGACAAUUUGUGAAAGAAACCUAUAAAUACCUCUCCUGAUCCAACAGGGGAGGGGGUCGACAAUUUGUGAAAGAAAUUCAAAGAGUUGCGUGUGUGUGAGCAUCCGUCUGUGAACCCACACACCAUCAUCUUCCAAACCCAAAAAUGAUUUUUAUUCGAUUUUUUCUUUGUAAUAAAAAGACUGGAGUGUUACAAAAAUAAUUAUUGCCAUUCUUUGAAGACUUGUAUGAUGAAAGUAUGAAAAAUUAACAUUCUGAAACAAUCUAUCUAAUCAAUGAUUUUUUUGUUCAUUUUUAUUACUUCUAUUUUGCAAUUUGGACAUUGUCUUUUUUUAAAUAAAAUUUAAUUGUUUUCAAAAAAAAUGACAAAUUUUUAUUUUUAAUUUAUUGAAUAUUUUUGCUCUGACAAAUUUAAUUUACAGAAAAAUAAUUUUCUCGCCAACUAGCUAUAACCUAUAAGCCUAUAAGCAACAAUAUAUCAUAUAACUGAAAUGUACAAUUGUAUGUCAUUUAUAGUUUUAUACCAAUGUCAUUUAUAGUUUGACAAAAUAGCUUAAUAUUGAAGAUUACAUUAGAAACUAAUGCAAAUUUUAUAUAAAUCUAAAUAAUUAAUUACAUAAGAUAUGUUAUCACUUAUCAGCAACAAGAGAUCUCUACCAAGAAUUAAUGGACAUUUGAGAUUUGCUGUAUAUACUAACUAAACGUAUAAACUAAUAAAAUGCAUAGAUCGUUUGAAAAAUGCACUGGCUUACUUAUUCUCAGUUAACCCUUCUUCACAUUCUUUCAAAUACUUAGUAACUCGUGGAUCAAAAACUACUGCUUUCCGUAGAUACAUGGCAGCUUCAGACCUUUGGCCUUCAUUGAACAAUGUGCUGUGAAAACAAUUGCACCCCAUAGAAGAAAUAUUAUGAUCAAGUAUCAAAUAUGCGUUAUUGAUUGUGAAAUCGUAUAGUGAUACCUUCCUAGAAGAACCACUCCCUGGUAGUAACAAGCUUUAUCGGAAGGAGUGUCUGGUUCUUUAAAGUUCGAUAAUCUUUUCAAGUGUUCAAUUCCUUCGGACUUCCUUCCCUGCAAAAAGAAAUAUGUACAUGUAAGGAGAGACAUUAGAUUUAGAUACAGAUUUGAGAUACUCAGAAAUGCAAUCGAAAGAUAAUCAAAUCACAAAAGGUGGAAAUUACAACUUUAUGCAGAUGAUCAUAUAAAGUCCUACGCAAAAUCAUAUAAAUUGCAACCUAAAACUCACCUGUUGUAUCCGUGAAAGUCCUACGCAGAAUAAUGCAAGAAUCAGAAGAUUAAGCUCUUCCUCUUCCUUUAUCUGUUUGGAAUUUGAAUAAACAAAAAACAUGAAGAAUUUAGCACAUUAGGUUUUAGUGUUUUAUAUUAGAGUAUUGUUCCUGGGUUUUCUUUGUCAUGACCUUUGAGAUUGCACGUUCAAAAUAGUCAGCAGCAUCAUCUAGUGAUUUUUUUGAAAAAAGAACCUGACCCAUGGCAAUCAGAGCUCUCGUCAUAUUAGGAUCUUUCUCUGUGGACAAUCUAUAAAAAAAUAUAAUUUUUUGCAAUACUUUUGGUACAAAGAGAGGAUUGUUUAAAUAAGUUUUGAAAAAUGCCAUUGCUUACUGUAAUAAUGGAAGUGCUUUAUCAUAAUCACCAUUUGCCAUUUUUUCAAGUCCAAGCUAGAAAAGCAUUAAUCAAAGUUAAAUAUAUUGAAUUCAUAUCUAGUAUGGUUUCACCACACCAAAUCUGAGAACUGUCAAUUUUUCCCACUUAAAUGUACUCAGAGUUAACUGCUAUGACUAUGUUCAGAGUUAGUGACACUAGUGCUAAUUGCAAACAUGUCCAAAUAGAAAAAUUCACAAUAUUCAGAUUUAACUUCUAUGACCAUGUUCAGAGUUAGCGACUAAAUAUGCUCAAAGUUGCUAAUUUUUUGAAAUGACGAACAUGACCAAAUAUCAAAAUCUUCUGUUCCAACUUUAAGAUAUGGUUAACCAUACUAGAGCUUUAUUGUAUAAAUAACAUUAUAAAUUAUAAUACUAAAGGAAAUAAUGUAAACUCCAUUUUACUCACCUGAAGCAGGUGUUCAGGAGUAAGACUUUCAAUUCGAAUAGAAGAUUGCUGUUCAGAAGAUGUAUUAUCUCCAUUUACAUAAUUUGAAGAAGUUUUAAGCUUCAAAUUAGCAUUGACAACUGGCAAUCCAAGUUUGCCACGAAAGUAAGAACUUCUGAGAGAAAGUUGCUGCAAAAAUCAUUCACAUAAAUUAAGAAUGCAACUUAUCACCAAAAACAUAAAAGUAGUUUUUUUAGAUAAUUCAUAAGGUCCGACAAGAUCUAGGCAUGAAAAAAUACAUAAAACAGAAAAGGUAAAAACAAUAACUUGAUCAAUAAAAACACAACAAUUUGAAAACCAGUUGGUUGGAAUCCUUCAAACUUCCUUUUUCCAACUACAACUAUACAAGUAGCAUUACUGUUGAGACUUAAGAUAUCAUCACUACAUCUAAAGUGUAUCAUUCAAAAUAUGGUAACUUAAUAUAGUAUCAAUCAGAAGUAAAUUGGCACAAACCUGGAUGAUCUAGGCAUGAAAAAGAUACUUAUGACAGAAAAAGUGAAAACAAUAACUUGUUCGCUAAAAACACAACAAUUUAAAAACCAGUUGGAAUUCUUCUAACUUCCUUUUUCCAACAUUACUGUUGAGAUAUUAUCACCAUAUCUAAAGUGUAUCAAUCAAAAUAUGGUAGCUUAAUUUGGUAUCAAUCAGAAGUAAAUUGGCACAAACCUGGAUCAUUGUUAAUGAACUGUUAGUUACCCAGUAAACUAAACUCCCCUGCAAAGCAAGAAACCAAAUGUUGUUACAAGUUAUCAUUGUUAGUGAAAAUUGCUGUUUUCCUGAAAACAUCCCAAAUGACUAAAUAAAGAAGUUAUCAUUAUUACAAGUCUUUUUUUUUGUAAAUGAAAUCCCCCCCAUUUAUCUGAAAAACAGCUACAGCCUACAGCUAGCAACAACAUAAAACACAAAAAGAACUGUUGUGAUGCAGCCCUUAUAAGCGCUUGCAUUAAUAAUAGGCUCGAUUCUAAUCGAACCUUGGACCAAGCCCAAUAAAAUGGCUUGGACUCUCAUGGUAGACUUUCCACUCUUAAACCAUGAGAGUAUAAAUAUGAGUGGACUCUGAAGGUAGAGUUAGUUGAGUUUUAUUUUCAUCAAGAUGAUUCUCAACGUUAAUUCUUUCUUUCUUUCUUUUAUUUAUUUAUUUAUUUAUUUCUUUCUUUAUUUUCAUAGAUUCUAUAAUUCUUUCCAAUUUACAAUUAUCGAUUAUCCUUGGAUUGGGAUUAUCGCUCAAGCUUCAAUCGAUUCUCAAGGGAGCUUAAACCCUAAUCGAUCAAUACUGUUCACUGAGUUCUUUUGACACAAGUCUGGACGGAUUUCUACAAUCCGUUAAUUCUGAUUUCUAAGAACUGUUCAAGGCCUUCAUCAAGUGGUAUCAGAGUAGGAGGGAUUCGCGAUCUGCAGUGGCUAAGAACAUCAAGUUGCGAUUUGCGAUUUGCGAUUGGAGAUCUGCACACUUGCGAUUUGCGAUUUCAAGUUUUUUUUGUUUUGCGAUUUUUUUACCUGGACGGAAUUGCAUUUCGCGAUUUUGUGAGUUGCACUCAGACGGAUUUAUUUUCAGACAGAUUUGCAUUUCGCGAUUUUACGAUUUGCAUUCAGACAGAUUUUGCCAUUUGCAUUCAGAGGGAUUUAUUUCAGACGGAUGGAUUUAUUUCAGACGGAUUUGCUUUCAGACGGAUUUAUUUCAGACGUACGGAAUUAUUUCAGACGGAUUUUGCGAUUUUGAAGUAGUCCAGCACACGUGAAAAAAAAAAGAAAAAGAAAAUCCUUUGCGAUAUAUUUCAGUGAUUUGUUCUGGACGGAAUUGUGAAAACAAUAAAGGAUAACUGAUCUGUUAUGAAUCAGUUAUUCUUAAUAAGAAAUAAACUUGUAUAAAUUGAGAACAUGUAUUUGAAAAUAUAUCAUCCAGUUUGAUUCAAUCUACCAAACAUUCCAGUAUGGUAUCAGAGCAGGGUUUCUUGUAUUUGUGGGUGGAACCUUAGUAUCGUGGAUUUCUCGCAAGCAGAGUACUCUGGCCAGAUCAAGUACGGAAGCGGAAUAUCGCGCAAUCGCUGUAACUACCCAAGAAGUUGAAGCAGUGCGGUCAAUGCUAUUUGAGGUAGGAGUUUCAACACAGAAACCAAUCAAAAUACUCUCAGAUAACUUCGGUGCAACGUUUAUUUCAAAGAAUCCAAUCAGACAUUGCAAACUUAAACAUGUAGCAAUAGACCUACAGUUCGUAAGGGAGAAGACAGAAAGUGGGGAGAUUUCGGUGGAACACAUUCCCCGGACCAUCCAAUGGGCGGACGUAUUGACAAAACUUCUACCGGCAAAACAAUUUCUAAAUUUACAAACCAAGCUCGUUGGAAUAAAUCCAAGAGCUUAAGGGAGGGGGUAUAAAGGCUAACUGAUCUGUUAUGAAUCAGUUAUUCUUAAUCAUAGUUUUAAAAAGCGGAAAGCGCUCCCAAUUUCCAGGGAGCGCUUUUUUAGCUUUAACCGCUUUAGCGUCGUUUAAAGCGGUUAAAGCGGUUAAAGCUAUAUAAAGUUUAUAAUAUAGACUAAAGCGGUUAAAGCUUUAGCUGUUUAUAUAGCUAAGAUAAAUCUUUAGCUGUUUAUAAUAUAGACUAAAGCGGUUAAAGCUUUAGCUGUUUAUAUAGCUAAGAUAAAUCUUUAGCUGUUUAUAAUAUAGACUAAAGCGGUUAAAGCUUUAGCUGUUUAUAUAGCUAAGAUAAAUCUUUAGCUGUUUAUAAUUUAUAUAGCUGUAAGUUAGUGGACAGCCUGUAACUAGUUGUUACUAACAACUAGUGAAAAAAAUUAGGAGCGAUAUCGGAAGCUUUAAUUAGUGAAAAAAAGCGUUUGGCAAAGCGGUCCAAAAAAACCGCUUUGCCGCUUUAAACGCUUAAAGCGACGCUUAAGCGUCGCUUUUUAAUCACUGUUCUUAAUAAGAAAUAAACUUGUAUAAAUUGAGAACAUGUAUUUGAAAAUAAAUCAUCCAGUUUGAUUCAAUCUAUCAAACAUUCCAGUAAACAAAAUCAAGUGAUGGCCGAGAACGUCACACGAGAAGAGUUUGAGAGGUUGGCAAAAGCCCUAACCGAUUUGACAACCUUUGUUAGGGACGGUUUUCAAACAAUGCGACAGAAUUUGCAACCUAUUCAACCGCAUAGAGGAGCAGAUCCGACAGUGAAUGGACAGGCAGAACCGACAAUAAAUUUCAGAAGAAGAAACCCACCCAUAGCUAGGGAACGCUUGGAAGAACAGAUCCGUCAGGGGGGAAAUUUCAGGCAACAUGACAAUUUCAAACAGGAAGAAAAUUUCAGACGGGGAGGACUUUUUAAUAGACAGACUGAGGAAGAAUUUUCAGAGGAGGAAGAAGAUUUAUUACAGUACGAGAGAAGAAGAAAUAGGGGCCGUCGAGACUAUCCAAGAGGGGGAGCAUUACAAAGGUAUGAAGAGUACAAUGGAGGAAAUCAAAGAAAUGAAUUUGGGAAUUAUAGAUUAAGAAUGGAACUGCUUGAAUUCAAUGGGCAGUUACAUAUAGAAGAAUUUUUAGAUUGGAUUUCAGAAGUAGAAAGAUUCUUCGACUACAUGGAAAUUCCAGAUUCAAAAAAAGUGAAAUUAGUGGCACUAAAAUUUAAAAGUGGAGCUGCUGCGUGGUGGGAUCAGACCACCAUGAAUAGGGCUAGAUUCCAAAAAAGACCUAUAAAAACUUGGGACAAGUUGAAGAAAAUGCUGAAACAAAGAUUUCUUCCGGUGGAAUUUCAAACCAUUUUAUUUAUAAAAUAUCAGAAAUUCAGACAGGGACAGAGGUCAGUAGCUGAUUAUACAGAGGAGUUUCAUAGGUUGGGAGCAAGAAACAACCUUAAUGAAUCCGAAGAACAACAAAUGGUAAUGCAGCAACACAGUAGAUAGGAGAUCGGGUGAAGAAGAGAGACAGAUCUUCUUCACAUAGGUAACUUAACUAGAAGGAUGUAGUAUCAAGAUCGAUAAGCAAGUAGAGAGAGUAGAUCUAGAAUAGCCAAAAGUAGAAAAGAAGAAGAAGUAAUAAUAGAGAGGAGAGAAAUACCUUUAGUUGCACAAUAAUCAAAACUGAUUUCCUGCCAGCUGGUCCAUUGUAUUUAUACUCACACUAAUGGUAAUGGACAGUCCAUUUAGUGUGAGUGUAGACCUCUUAAUGAGAGGAAUGGUUGGUCUGACCUUGGUCAGACCCUUGAUGGACUAGAUUAGGAGAUCCAUCCCUACUGGACUUAUUCUUAGAGUUAGGAUCACUUAUAAGCUCUACAUUAUCCGUCCCUCCUUUAGGAUCAAUUGUCCCCAAUUGAAUCAGAGAAUUUGCUUGAGGGAAGUACUUUCUUAUGUCCGAAAUGUUGAAACUGUUUGAUAUGUUGUAGGAGCUUGGCAAGUCUACUAUGUAGGCAUUGUCAUUGAUUUUCUUCAAGAUCUUGAAAGGCCCAUAAUUUCUUGCUUUUAAUUUAGAAUAAGUUCCUGUUGAAAACCUUUCUUUGCUAAUAUGUACCAUUACCAGUUCCCCUACUAAGAAUUCCUGCUUCCUCCUUUUUUUAUCUGCCUCAGCCUUGUACUUCUCAUUAGCUUCUUUCAAAGCUUUCUCCACUGCUUUGUACACUUCCUGAUUUUUCUCUAUUAAAUUCUCCACAGUUUGCUGAUUUGAAGGGACGUCAUUUAUGUCAAUAGCCUGCUUUGGUUGAUGCCCAUAGGCUGCCAUAAAAGGACUCAUUCCUGUUGAUCUGUUUAUCAUGUUGUUAAAUGCGAAUUCUGCCUGAGGAAUACAUAGGUCCCAUUUUUUUAAAUUCUGUCCCACCAAUGUUCUAAGUAAGUUGCCCACAGAUCUGUUUACAACUUCUGUCUGCCCAUCAGAUUGAGGGUGGCAUGUUGUGCUGAAAUUCAGUUUGGUUCCAUAUCUUUCCCACAAUGUUUUCCAAAAGUGGGAUAGAAACUUUGUGUCCCUAUCAGAAACUAUAGAUCUUGGAACACCAUGUAGUCUGACUAUUUCCUUAAAAAAUAUCUGUGCUGUGUGUUCUGCAUCAUUGGACUUCUUACAUGGCAAGAAGUGAGCCAUUUUGGAAAACCUAUCCACUAUCACAAAAAUUGAAUCUAAACCAGCUUUAGUCUUGGGUAAUCCUAGGAUAAAAUCCAUUGAUAAAUCUACCCAAGGUUCUUUUGGGACUGGUAGAGGCAUAUACAACCCUGUAUUUUGUUUAGUCCCCUUGGACUCCUGACAUAUUUGACAGCUCUGAAUAUACUUUUCUGUUUGCUCUCUUAGCUUGGGCCAAUGAAAUCUUUUUUUUAAAUCAGCUACCACUUUAUCCCUUCCCAAAUGACCAGCUAACCCUCUAGAGUGUAGAGUGUAAAACAGUUGUUCUCUUAGUGGGUCUUUGGGUAUACAUAAUCUGUUUUUGUACAUGAGAUAGCCUUCUUGUAUGUUGAAAUUUUGAAAACUCUGUCCAUUCUGGCAGGCUGCCCAACUACUGCUGAAAUCCUCAUCUUUUGCAUACAAUUCCUUGAUUCUUUCAAAUUCAGUCACUUCAACCCUCAAUAUUGUUAAUAGUGUGCUUUUCCUACUUAGGGCAUCAGCCACCCUAUUAGUGAUUCCUGGUUUAUGUUUCAAUGUAAAAUGAAACCUUUGCAAAUAGGAUAUCCACCUAGCAUGCAUCCUAUUUGUGUUUUUUGAGCUAUUGACCUGUUUUAGGGCCAUGUGGUCAGUCUGAAUUACAAAUUCAUUUUGUAAUAAAUAGGGUUCCCAGACCUUGCAUGCUCUUACUACUGCAUAUAACUUUUGUUCAUAUGUGGUCCAGUUUCUUCUUCCCAAGCUUAAUUUUUCACUAUGAAAUGCUAUGGGGUGAUCAUCUUGACUUAGAACUGCCCCUACUCCCAUAAUGCUUGCAUCACACUCAAUCUGGAAUAUUUUACUGAAAUCUGGAAGAGCAAGUACUGGUGCUUUUUGCAGCUUAUUUUUCAACGUCUUAAAUGCUUUUUCUGCCUCAACUGUCCAACUAAAUUUACCUUUCUUUAGACAGUCAGUAAUGGGGGCUGCAAUGGUACUGAAAUUCCUUAUAAACCUUCUGUAGAAGGAGGCAAGACCAAGAAAACUUCUUAUCUCUGUAAGGUUUGAAGGUGUCAUCCAAUCAUUUAAUGCCUCAGUCUUUUUUUGAUCCACUUUUAGGCCCUGAUGGCCUCUUAUAUAGCCAAGAAAUGGUAGCUCAUGGACCAUGAACUCACAUUUUUCCAAAUUCAACUUCAAAUUGUUUGUUUCCAGCAAUUGUAACACUUUUUCAAUAUGUUUCAGAUGUUCCUCUUUUUUCUUGCUAAAUAUGAGCAUGUCAUCAAAGUAGACAACAACACACUCAUUGAUGAGAGGCUUUAGAACUUCAGACAUUAGCCUCAUAAAUGUAGAAGGGGCAUUAGACAUGCCAAAAGGCAUGACUAACCACUCAUAUAACCCCUUGCUUGUCUUGAAUGCUGUUUUCCACUCAUCCCCCUCCCUAAUUCUGAUCUGAUGGUACCCACUUUUCAGGUCCAUCUUAGUGAAAUAUUCAGCUCCUGUUAACACAUCUAAAAGUUCCUCUAGCCUUGGGAUAGGAAAUCUGUAUUUGAUAGAAAUUUUGUUGAUAGCUCUACUAUCAACACACAUUCUCCAAUCACCAUUUUUUUUUGGCACCAGCAAAGCAGGAACAGCACAUGGGUUUAUUGAUUUUCUGAUCAGUCCCUCUUGUAGUAAUUUCUCCACCUGUGUUUGCAGAAUUUCUGUUUCAGCAGGGCUAAGUUUGUAAUGUGGUAAAUUAGGAAGUGUUGCCCCCGGGAUUAGAUCAAUUCUGUGGUUGAUGCUUCUGUGAGCAGGUAAUUUUUUUUCAUUUUCUUUAGUCACACUAGAAAAUAUUUUCAGGAGGUCUUUUAUUACUGUUGGAAUGCAGACUUUCUUUUUUGUUUGUACCUCUUUUACCAAAACUGCCAACCCUUCCCCUUGAAUUCCCAAGGAUUUUUUGAAUUCUUUUUGUGACUCUACCAACAGAUUUGGUUUGUCACCUUGUUUUGUUUCAUUUUCAGAUAUUGGUAGUAAUGCUACCCUCAUGUCAUCUACCUUUAUGAUGUAUUGGUUUGUUCUUCCAAUGUGGUUCCCAUAUACAUCAUAUUGCCAAGGCCUCCCUAGCAAUAGAUGGGCAGCAUCUAUGUUUACUAUAUCACAUAUGACUUCCCCUUUGUACCUUCUUCCUAUAGAUAAAGACACUGUACAACACUUGUUCACACUAACAUUGUCUCCACUUUGUAUCCAUGAUACGCUGUAAGGCUUUGGGUGGUCUUCUACAUGGAGUCCCAAUCUUUUAACUGCUUUCCAUGAUAUCAGAUUAUCCGUACUGCCAUUGUCUAUGAUUAUGUCACAAACUAUUCCUUUCACAGUCCCUCUUGUUCUGAACAGGUUGUUUCUUUGUGACCCAACCUUUGUGUGUGGUACAUGGCAACUUCUGUGAACCAAUUCAGACAUUCUAGGGCCUUCAUCCGGUGGACAUUCAUCUUCAAAUUGAAAUUCAGAGUCUUCUUCAUCUAUAUCCAUAGGUUCUUUUCCUUUACUGUCCAGUAAAUGAGUUCCCGCUCUCUUGGGACAAGUGUUGGACUUGUGUCCCCACUCAUUGCAUCUGUAGCAUUUAAUAUUUGCUAGUCUUUGAUCUGCAGGUCUAUAUCCUUUAUUUUCUGUCCCAAAUUCAGUAGAUAUCCUUCUGUCCUCAGGUGUGGGUAGGAUUCCCUUAUCACUAGGUUGCACCAUUCUGCUUGAUGAAGAUCCAACUGUGAAUUUACUGAGUUUCUCAGCCCUCUGAUCCAACUGAUCAGCUACUCUAAUAGUUUCCAUUAGGGUGUAUUGAGGUUGCAAAAUAAAUUUCUCUUGAAAUUUGCCUUUGAGACCUUGAACAAAUCUUGCAAUUAGUUGUUCUUCAGUCUCACUGAGGUUGUUUCUAGCUGACAACCUAUGAAAUUCUUUAGCAUAUUCAGCAACACUUCUAUUACCUUGACAGCACUGGUGAUACUGUGUGUACAGAAUUCCUUCAAAGUCACUUGGUAGGAACCUUUGCUUGAGUAGUCUCUUAAGUUUAUCCCAACUUUGGACUGGUCUUUGUUGGAAUUUCCUUCUAUUUUGCACUGUCUGGUCCCACCAUGCUGAAGCUAACCCCUUAAACCUCAACACUACCAACUUAACUUGUUGGUCUUCGUCGAUGUCCAUAUAAUCAAAAAAAUGUUCUACUUCCGCUAUCCACUCAAGGAAUUCUUCGAUAUGAAGAGUUCCACUAAAUGUAGGGAUAUCCAACCUCAAUUUGUAUUGACCUCUGCUAUAGCCUUUUUGUUGACCCUCACAAAAAUCAUUUUCAUCGGACAAUUCCCUUCUAUUUCUUUGGUAUCUCUGUCUUCUUUGAUAUACAGCAUUCUGUGGAGCUUCUCCAAAGUCCAAGUCCUCUUCUAACAUAUCCUCGAACUGGUCUAGGGCUCCCCCCAGUCGGCGUUGAUAUGUGACAGUGGGAUUCUCGGCCGGCCGGCGACAGUAGACUUGAUGCUCCCUUUCCGGCGAACGUCGUUCCUGUCUCUGGGGAACUAUUUGUUCUCGAGGUUGCCUCUGAUAGGUCUGAAAUGGCACCUCUGGAGCUCUCCUCUGAUAAACCACUGGAACUCUGUUAGAUACCUCUGGCUGCUGUGGAUCUGGUGGCUCCGGUGAUUGUAUUGCCCUUCGCAGGUCCGCAAACCCCUCCUGCAUUGCGGUUGUCAGAUCCGCAAUGGCUUUUUGAGUGGCCUCCCACUCCUGUCGACUCACAUUGUUGUCUGCCAUGUUGCUUGCUACAAAAAAAAAUACUGAAAUCUACCGUCCACGCGAGGCUCUGAUACCACAUAAUGCAGCAACACAGUAGAUAGGAGAUCGGGUGAAGAAGAGAGACAGAUCUUCUUCACAUAGGUAACUUAACUAGAAGGAUGUAGUAUCAAGAUCGAUAAGCAAGUAGAGAGAGUAGAUCUAGAAUAGCCAAAAGUAGAAAAGAAGAAGAAGUAAUAAUAGAGAGGAGAGAAAUACCUUUAGUUGCACAAUAAUCAAAACUGAUCUCCUACCAGCUGGUCCAUUGUAUUUAUACUCAUACUAAUGGUAAUGGACAGUCCAUUUAGUGUGAGUGUAGACCUCUUAAUGAAAGGAAUAGUUGGUCUGACCUUGGUCAGACCCUUGAUGGACUAGAUUAGGAAAUUCAUCCCUACUAGACUUAUUCUUAGAAUUAGGAUCACUUAUAAGCUCUACAUUAAAUGGCGAGAUACAUUGGGGGAUUAAAAUCAGCACUUCAAGAAAAAGUCAUUUUACAGUCCCCAAUGUCACUUAUGAAGACUGUAAACAUCUCCGAACAACUAGAGAGACAAACAAACAAGUACUCAUCAUUUUCACCUGGAGCUUCAACUAGUAAACCUAUCUAUUCCAAGGACAAAGGAAUUCUGCCAACACCUGAAGGGAAAAAUACAGAUCUGAAUGAAAAAAAAUCAGGGGUCUCAGACCAAGUUUGGAGCACAAUAAGAUGUUAUAAAUACCAAGAAAUGGGCCACAAAGCUAAUAACUGCCCUAGGAGGGGAUCUGUAAAAUUCUGUGAAGGGUUGAGAGAGAAUGAAGAUAGCAUUAAUUCAGAUGAGUCCAGUGAGGCCGCAGAAGAGUAUGACCCCGAUGAAGGAUCAAGUCUAUCUUGCUUGAUCCAUAGAUCCUUUCACACUCCUAAAAUUUCUGACCAGAUUCAAAGGGCAAAUUUAUUUCGCACCAAAGGAACAGUUAAAGGGAAAGUUUGUCAGAUAAUAAUAGACAAUGGGAAUACGGACAACCUAAUAUCUGAGAAGGCAGCAAAAAAGUUAGAACUCAACCUUGAGGAACACCCUAAACCUUAUACAAUAGGAUGUAUCAAAAAUAGUGAGGGAGCAAAAAAUAGAUAUUUGUGCAAAGUCCCACUAUCCAUUGGCAAGAGGUACAACGAUACAGUAGUAUGUGAUGUAGUUGAUAUGGAUGCAACACACAUACUUUUGGGCAGACCGUGGCAAUAUGAUGUAAAUGUCACUCACCAUGGGAAAUUAAACACCCAUAUUUUUCAAGCUGAUGGUAGGAAGAUUGCCCUAUUACCACUUCCUCUUGAGUCGACUUGCAAAAAGGCUAAACACAAAUUUUCUACUACAACAGAGGUCUGAUUUUUCUGAAGAACAGAGAAAUGAAGAUAUGGGGUUAGCUCUAGUAAUAAAAAGUCUGGAAAAAGAAGAGGUUGAGUAAAAAGAACUACCUAAGGAAGUACAACAAAUUCUGAAGGAGUUUCCACUUAUCUCCUUAAAUAAUUCAGUAGUAUCACUACCACUUGAGAGAGAAAUUGACCACAGAAUAGACUUGAUUCCGGGAGCAUCUCUACCUAACCUGCCCCACUACAGAUUAGGACCUAAAGAGGCUGAAAUUCUUCAGAAUCAAGUCGAACAACUACUAGUAGACGGUCUGAUCAGAACGAGUUUAAGUCCUUGUGCCGUACCUGCACUCUUAGUCCCAAAGAAAAAUGGAGAGUGGAGGAUGUGUGUGGACAGCAGGGCGAUAAACAAAAUCACGGUGAAGUACAGAUUUCCUAUUCCAAGACUGAAUGAGCUGUUGGAAGCCUUGGCCGGAGCUAAAAUUUUUUCUAAAAUGGACCUAAAGAGUGGCUACCACAAAAUCAGAGUUAGAGAAGGGGAUCAAUGGAAAACGGCUUUUAAAACCAGGCAAGGAUUGUAUGAACGGAUGGUGAUGCCAUUUGGAUUGUCUAAUGCACCAUCAACUUUCAUGAGAUUGAUGACUGAGGUACUGAAACCAUUGUUGGGAAACUGCAUCGUGGUAUAUUUUGAUGACAUCUUAGUAUUUAGCAAAAGCAAAGAAGCCCACAUUAAAGAUGUAAAAUCAGUUUUCGGAUUAUUAGAGAAAAAUCAGCUAAAAUUAAAUCUGAAAAAGUGCGAAUUUUUUACGGAGGAACUGUGUUUUCUAACCACCUCUAAAAUUCUCAAUACAGAUGGAAUUCAAACCACCUCUAGGGUUCUAUUAGAGAAGAAUAGUGUUAGAUACUUUAAAACUUUGUUCAGUAAUCCAACCACCCAACGGUCGGCGGUUCCUGUCAUUUUUCUUAGAGUGGUUUCUGAAACUAUGAAUAGGUGGUUGCUUCAGGCUCCGUUAGAGGAAGAGGUAAGGGUCACACUGUUCUCCUUUAAUUCGGGGAAAUUCCCUGGGCCGGAUGGUUUCACCUCUGAAUUUUUCAAAAAAAAUUGGAGAGAUCUUAAAGGCCUAGUAAUGGAGUGUGUAAGGCAAUUCUUCAAAGGCAAACCUUUGUUGAAGUCUGCUAACCAUACUUUCAUCACGCUUGUGCCCAAAACAAACACGGCCUAAGAUGUGUCGGAUUUCAGGCCGAUAUCAUGUGUCAAUUUGAUCUACAAGCUAAUGACAAAAAUAUUGGCAGAUAGGAUCAGUAAGGUCUCUAGUGAACUCAUCUCUCCAAACCAAGCAGCUUUCAUUCAAGGAAGGCUUAUCUCGGAUAAUACCAUAGUUCAAAAAGCGGAAAAGCGGUCAGCUUUUCCAUUGACCGCUUUUUCAGCUUUGAGCGCUUUAGCGCGCUUAAAGCUGAAAAAGCGGUAGUGGCAUUAUUGUAAAUAAUGCUAAUUUUUUAAAAAAUAUAUAUAAAAUAUAUAUAAACCUGUAAUUAUUCAAGACAUCAUCCAAAUUAUUUGAAAAACAUUUACAAGUCAUAUAACCUAAUCAUCUAGACGUGCAACAAUAUCUAUAUUAUCUCUUAAAAUUUCUUCCAUUUCAUUCGUGCAAUGAUGAAAUUGGGAUUCAGUUCCCAUAUCUCUAGGGUUUUGGAAGAAAUAGAAGUGAGAGUGAUAAAGGAAAUUAGGGUUUUAUUAGAAGGGUAUUGGGUUUAUAUAGUUAGAUAGAAAUUGGAGGGGUAGGAAGGGAAAUUAAAAUAGUUUAAGUUAUUUUACAUGGGUAAUGGGUUGCCCCAACCCAAUAACCCAACCCGACCCGACCCGAUAACCCAACUAAAAAAAGCGUUUUACAAAGCGGUCCUGGAGGACCGCUUUGACGCUUUAAGCUAAAAAAGCGACGCUUAAAGCGUCGCUUUUUGAACUAUGAUAUAUAUAACUAUAUAUGACCCUAUAAUAUGUUUUAUUAAUGUUUAGUCCAUUAGUUAACUGUAUUGUAUUGUGUUAUGUUAGUGGUAAUCAUGUCUUAUUUAGUGGGGUUAGUGAACCUUGAGGAGUUAUUGUAUGAGUUGGGUUCUCUAAGUUAUUUCUUAAUUUUCUUGUUUAUUUUCUUUAAGUUCUAGUCAGAUUCUCUUCUUUUGAUCUUUCGAGAAUCUCGGUUGUAUCAGUUACACUAUGUGCACCUCUAUUUGGCCAAAGUUUCAUUACUAUUUAAACUACUGAUUUAUAAAUUGUUCUUCUUCCUCAUGGAUUCUAUCACAUCUCUCCACACAUGCCACAGUGCCAUCUCUAAGAUCAGCAAAAGCAGGUCCCAAAAUGCUAUUUUCCAGUUUCCUGUGCAAAAUAGUUGGAUUAAGACACUAUUUUCCCAACUUUCCUAGAUUAUUGGCAUUUGGAGAAGAGAUGAUCAAGACUCGCACUUUCUCUUCUGCAUAGCAAACACUAUACUUCCUCCUCAUCUUUCUAUCUGCUGGUGUGGUACCUGGUUGGGGGCUUUCCCUAUCUCUCCAUAAAAAGUGAAUACUACUUGUGCGUCACACUGGCCAAUAAACGUCAGGCAUAUCUGUUUAAUAGGUGUUUUCCCUGAUACGACCUCAAAUGGUCCAACCGUCCAAUACCAAUCUAAGUUGGUAUCCUGACAAUCCUGUACAUGUCUUUAUUUAUAUUGUGAUCCAAUCAUAAACAUCAACAGUUUAUUAUGGGAUCAUUUCAUUAAUAACCUAACUACUAUAUAGCUGAGGCAUAUUUAUUGUAAGAUAUAUCACAACCGAAAUAGGCAUUUCUUUUAGCCGGACCACGUUAAAGUCUCAUGUCUCCUUUCAUAAUAUUGCUUGCUUGAUUAAUUUUUCGUAGAUCUAAAUUAUAAGCUAGAUCGGAUUUUACAGUUGCGUUGAAUUACAGAUUGAUCUCCAUCAAUCUGUUUGUUGAAGCAUAAUCAGAUUUGAAUAUCUGAACAGAAAAGGUAUUCUAGGUUAACAAAGAUACCGAUAUCAAAAAUCAAAAUCAUCAUGACCAAAUUUCCAAUUUACUAGUUUCAUAGAUACGAAAAAAUAAUACCUGAGGAAUAUUAAAUGCAAUCACGAGCAAGGGAAGUGAUAAAAUAUCCAAAUAGAACUUGUAGUACUGCCAGAAAAAGAUGCAACUAGUCACUCUUCUGUAAUCAACAAUUUAAAUAUAUGAACUACGUAUCAGAAUAUAGUUUAUAAUUUGUAGAAAAGAAAUUACAUGAAGGAAAAUACAUACAACUACGACAUGCGUAUGUCAUGUAUGUAUAUACAAGUAAUACAACUGGGUGUGUCAUGUACUCAUGUGUGUAUGACUUUUAACCGGUGAAAUAAAAUAUGGACAUCGACUUACUUUAGCAAAUACACCAAUUAAACCAGGCAUGUCAGAAGCUUUAAAAUUCCUGAAUGAAAUCUGAAAACACUCAAAACAGUUAAUAGCAUCACCGACUCGAUUUUUUGGUAAAAAUGGAUAUAUUAAAAAAAAAUUGUAACUUAUAAUCUCUUAAAAUGGUUGAAAGAUAUUAAUGAAGUAUUAAAGCCUACAAGCUCUUAAAAUGGUUGGGUGAUUUAGCAAUAAAUCAAUAAUAACCCCACCAUUCAAGUAUGUAAAGUAAAUUAUGGUCUAGCCACCUUUUUUUCCUUUGUGCAUGAUUUUGACAGGUCAUUCAAACUUUCAAAGAACAAACCAUAUAUUGCAUGCAUCAAUAAUUCAAUAUUAAGCAACCCACAUCCAUGAUUUACUUGGCAGAAACAAUUCUUCACGUAACAAGGAAUACUUGUACAGAAGUAAGUAUUUAACUUCACAUGAUUUAUAUAACUGCUUAGAUAUUUAUCAUAAAUUACGGAAUUUCUUUCAUAUUUAUCAUAACAGAUGAUAUCUCUAAAUAUUUAAUAUAUGAAUCCAACGUGUCAUUAGCUUCCCAAAAUAAAGGAAUAAGAGGGAAGUAUUCACAAAUACCUGAAUAUUCACAAAAUGCAAACCAGCAAUCAAUACAGGGAAAAUGGGACCACAAGCACCAUGAGAAAAAUCGGUUAAAUUAUGAAACCACAAAGCACCACCCUGAAAGUAAAUAAAUAUUACAUAUAUUUUUUAUUAUUGUCCAAUUUUAUCUAAGAGACCAAAAUAUAAAAGGAACUCGACCACAAAAAUGACUGUCCAACACUCCAACCCUAGUUUAGAGAGCGAUCUUGAAAUUGAUAGAAUAGAAUAUAAGAUCGGAAUCCAUGUGGAAGAGGGAGGAAAUACCUGAAAAUAAGUAAUCCUGUCAUUCAAACUCUUUAUUAUACUCACAUUUCAAACAAGUGGUAGUUGAAGACAUGAGUGGGAAAUUUUGUUAAUUGAGGACACGAUACCCUUCUUUGAUCAUUUGCCCAUCUGAUUUUUCCAUGAUUUAAGCAACUCCUUAGUGGGAACUGAGAAAUUUGAACUAGAACUAAAUCUCACACAAUUAAAAAGAGAUUAGAUGACGUAGUUAAUGGUUUUAAAGAUAAUGAACAUUAGGCUCAUUAACUAAAUCCUUAUUGAACUCGAUUCCUUGUUCUCCACUAGCUUGGAAUCGAGUAUAAAAGGAUAAUGAACACUCUGAGGACGACAAAUUAUUUUGAUAAACAUUUUCCCAAGGUAUUUCUUCUUCUUGAUAUCUCUCUCUUAUUCUUAUUCUAUUCUCGUUAUUCACUGGUGGAUCCAGUACACUUAUGCAUCGAUUGAUCUUCAUUGGAUCAAUUCAUUCAAUUGAUUAUUAAAGUAUUGAGUCACAUCAUUAGAAGAAAUUUAAGACAUGGAGAUUUAUAUGGUUCGGUCAUCGAUAAGAUUAAACCUGGAUCUGCCCAAUAAUUAGGGCAGGGCAUGAGGUUUGACCGACCUAAACCCAUCCUAACCAGAAAGCUGAAUUAAUAGUUUUCCUCCAGUAGGCUAGCGUUUACUCUUAAAUUUACAAUUUCUGCCUAACAUCUAUGACAUGAUCUGGUCAUUGAUCCCUGAUACAAACUAAUACAAAAAUUGAUACAAACUAAAAUCAUGAAAGAGUAAGGUUUCACAUAGUCUUACACUAUCAAACCCUGGAUGACCAUCCAAACACAUUCUUCGAACGCUUGUCAUCCAUAUCAAGAAACAUGGAAACUGUAAAAAAAUAUAAUCAUUUACCACAUAUCAAAAGGUUGUGCAUCAAGACUUCAAGAAUGCUGAAUAGAAAAGUGCAUGUAUAUGUUCUAAAUAAAAAAUUUAAAUAACAAUCAAGCUGUCAAUAUUAAAUGACCAAUUUAAUAGAAAGGAAUCAAAGAAUAGAUUUCAAGAAAAUAGGAUGGCUUCUGGAGCUUGGAAAUAGAGCUGGCCAGCGCUAUAUAGAGGUGAAAUCGCAAAAUCUGGAAGAGAUAUUGCAAUUCCAGACCUAUAGGUUUUUAAAACUUAAUGUUUUAAACUGGGUACCAGGACGAAUCCUUGCCCAAAUCCGCCCAGAAACCUGGUUGAAAUUAGAAAUAGCACCAGUAGAUGGCGCUUUUAGUGUGCUAUAGCACACGCUACUUAAACAAUGAUCAUAAGAGCUGUUAGAAUGUGGAGACGUUUUUUGGAAGGGCAUUAAUUAUAAUUAGAAUUAAUGUAGGCCUUUUACGAGCCAUUAGAAUUAAAUAAGUUUAAUUCUGUUAAAUGGGCUUUAAGCCUUGUAAUGGGUAUUAGGGUUGCAAACACAAAACGACAACCCUAAUCUCCCAUAUAAGUAUCUUAUAAUGACUUGUACUCUUGGUGAGAGAAAAAGAAGAAGAACGGAGGCACCACCGUGGACGUAGGCACAUUGCUGAACCACGUAAAUUCUGUGUGUUUUUUGCUCGGUUUUCUCAGUUCGAUUUAGGCAUCGAUCCUAUCAAGAGCUUCUUAUGUUAAGACAGCCUCUGAAUGAAUCUAUUCUCAUUAAGUAGGCAUAAAAGAGAUAUAUUAGAAACAGAAUAAACCAAGCAUUGGCUCCAUAUUUUGGAAAUCCUUGAUGCCUGCAAAGGAAGAUAUAAACUCGUGGUUGAGGUGUAGAGAGCAAACUACAAUAUCGCAUGAAAGAUGGGCUCUCCAUUAAGGAACCUAGGGUCCAUAGAAGAAGCACUUGGAGUAAGAAGCCGCUAGGACCCACUAGCUGAGGGUAUGUGGUCUUACAUGCCAACUAAAUUCUCCAUAAUAUUAUGGAGAAUUAAAUGGAAACACCUAAAUACUUUCCAAAGACUUAGGGAAUGAGGAAUAUAGACACAAAUAACCAGACUACUAUGCAACAACCAGGAUGAGACUAAAGCCCACCUCUUUUUCAACUGCCCAUACUCAAGAACUGUCUUCAUUGCAAUAGCAAAACCCCUAAAAAAUUCAUUUUGGAAAGUAGCAAACUCACCUACUCCCACCCAGACUUGGUCUGACAUCAAAAUGGAGGAUCUCAUUGAAGCUUACCAGAAAUUCGCCUAUAAAUCCCCAAGUUGGAGCCUGCUUUGGAGCUCAAUAGAAUGUAUUGCUUCAUAGUUCAUACAAUCACACCUCUGUUCCAAAAGGAACAGGAGGCUCAAGAAGCACAUCUUCAGACAUCCAGAAAUUCUAACCAUGGCAAUUAUUCAGGACAUCAGUGAUCAGUCUCUCCUUUAAAUAAGAAGAUUUUGAGAAGGCUUGUUGUUCCCAAUUGGAGAUGUUAUAUAUGAAAGUGUAACUGUCGAUGGGUCUUUAACAGUUAUCUCCAUUUUGUAUUAAGGGGAUUGUCUUUUAUUUUAUAAUGAAAAAAUUAUUUUUAUAAAAAAAUAUCCUUGGCAAAAAAUAAACUCCUUGCAUUCAAGGUAGUGAUGAAAAGGUAAAAGUGUAAAACCCAUUGGUAACAUACCAGAGCUUAUUAGUUAUCACCAGGUACAUUCGAAAUAAAGAAGUAUCUAGCAAGAGUGAACUCAUAACCUCAUGCAUGUAAACUUAUAAUUUCUUUAAAAAAACUUGAACUAUCCUUUGCUUUAAAAAAAAUCUUGAACUAUCCUUUACUUUCAAAAAAAAACUUGAACUAUCCCCUUUGAAGGAAACGACACAACUUACUACUACUUUCGAUGACCAUAAAGAGAAAAUUGGAAAUAUUAAAAUCAACAGAAUAAUAAUAAUACCUAACGUGGAGUCGUGGGAUAAUAGAAAUAUUAAAAUGGGAAAGGUGCACAAAUUUAAUACCUGGACAGAAAAAAAUGCAAAGCUCCACAAAUAAGAAGGACAACGAAGCUCUCUUCUUUUCCUUCUAUGGAGUGUAAAUUGUUCACGGAAAGUAAUUCCUGAUGAAGGUGGUGGGAAAGGAGGGGGCACUUUGAAAAAUAGUGUGAGUUAGAUUUUGAUUAAAAAUAAUUUACCGAGGAGAAAGGACAAAUGUAUCUAUCUCUUGAAAUUUGAAAACAUCAAACAUAAACUAAGGUAACAUUUUGAAUAUUACAAAUUCCUACUUAUAAAACAAGACUGUAGUCUCUAUAUUUUAUUUCAAAUUGGAUGGACAAUGUGUAUUUUUAACAAAGGGAUCCGCAACAGAUGCCAUAUAACUAUUUAGGCAAUUUUACGGGUUGAGGGAAGGAUAGAUAGCUACCAUGUAAAUUGGGUCAGAUCCGUAUCUCUUUUUUUAUAAAAGGUAGAUUUUCAUUAGAAAUAGUGACUCAAUCCUUUCCUCUUGGAUAAGGGGGAGAUACAUUAAGGGACGGGGACUGAAUAAAUUUUACAUCAAUCCUCUUGGGUAAGGGGGAGAUACAUUCCUCGCCUAGAAGAGACACCAUCAUGUGGAAAUCAAUCCUUAAGUAUAAGGAUGAGGUAUGGAAGUUGACGGAUUUUGGCCAUAAUUACAUUCUUAACCUUACUGAACUAAAACAAGGGAGUUGUUUCCAAAAAAUUUGUAAAGCAAUAGCCCCUCCUAGACAGCUUGACCCCCUGGCCAGUGGAAUUUGGACCAGAAAACCUACUAAAUUAUUUUAAUUCAUAUGGAGACUGAAGUGGGAAUUUGUGCCAUCUUUCUACGUCUUAGGAGGCUGAAGGAUUCCUGUCUCACCUCUUUGUGUACUCUGCGAUGAGGAGUCUGAGACUAUUAGUCAUUUAUUCUUUAACUACCCAUACUCCAGACACACUCUUAUAUACUGUUCUGACAUAACUAAUCAUAAUCAUAUUAUAUGGAGAUAUAACAAUUUGCAGGUACCUCGUGAAGAUGAUAUCAGAUUGGAGGAGAUAAUUGAUAGCAUCCAAUCCCUAAGGAAAGGCUCCAAUUGCUGGAGGCUUCUCUAGACUGUGCUUGAAGACUUGGAGAAGUUACUUGGCAGUUGUGGCAGGAAAGGAAUAAAAGGUGGAGAACUAGAGUUUUCAGACCUGUGAAAGUGGUAGUUAUGGAGAUUCUCAAGAACUGUAAAAUAUGUUUUGAUGUGAAGGCUAACCUUCUAAACAUAGGAAUUGUGGAAACCUCAACUAUUUCACCAUGGUUGAGCCAAUAUGUGUUGUUUCUGCUCUUAGAGGACUUUGUCCACCACUGAGCGAUGCUAGUCUGUUAAUGGGAUUUGCAUUUCUAUCUUUGUUUAUAUUGAAAAACUGGGCAAGGCCAACUUCAUUUCUAAUGAAAUUUUAUCUUCAUAAAAAAAAUACUGGAAAACCUUUUUGCACGGGUAAAUUUUGUUUUUUCAUUAAAGAAACAAGUAGACAACUAAGGUUAACAAUAAGUAAUUAAAUUACAACUAAGCUCUAGCCUCUAUGGCUACUUAUAUUACUCCAUAGCUAUAUAUCAGUAAUAUCACUAAGAAACUAAGGAGUACUUCCAUGGAAUUAAAGGGAUGAUUUCUUUAUAAUUCAGUUGCUCUUUAAUCAUUCUAGAGUUAACAUUACCGAACAAAAUUAACUAAUAUUUAUUAAUGGAUAGGAUUACUAAAAUCGCAAGGACCAAGCCACAAUUGGUCCCUUGAUACACAUAUAUAUACUGAUACAUACACAUAACACAUGUAAUAGAAAGGGUUCAUUGUUAUUAUCUAAUCCUUGCUUAUGAGCAUCUCUUACCUUUUUUCUUCCUCCCACUAUCUAAAUCUCUCUCUAUCCUUCCGGUUAUCAUAUAUUACAUUUAUCAUUGCCUAAUUUACAAACUUGAUAGAAUUUUGUUCAAUGAUACCGAGAUUAAUGUUUGACUUUGUAAGGGUGGAUUGGUAUGGUCCAAGUGCUAUCAUAAUUAUCAAUGACAAAAAUACAAUAAAAAUGAACCGAUAACAUAAUGCUCACAUUUAGGGAAAAACUCCGAAAGUCUUCCCAUCUUCUUCAAUUGCAAAAUGAGGACGGGCAUUAGAACAACCCGGAGGGCCAGAGUAGACGUGGCUAUCACAAUCCACCUGCAAACCAUUCAAUCAAACAAACAAAAACAUCAUUGCACAUCUGAAUUCUGAACGGUAAUAAAUAAUUACUAUUUCCCCGAGUACAACUCUCACUCUCUCGAUCUCUCAAAAAUAUAUUGAUAAACUAAAUCAUACAGAAACAUGUGUAGUAACAAAUUUCAAGUGCUCACCACGGAAGACCAGUGACAUCAUGACAUCCAUCGAGAGCUGAAAUUAAUCCGCGAACAGGAGCAUAAAAAAAUUUAUCGUCCAUAACAGAAAUCACGUCACCAUCCGCUCCAAGAUCAGGAACACCAACGAAUAAUCCAUCUCCUUCGAGAUGAACUUCGCCACUCUUGUCCAAUUGGGAAUCGUGCGAUGACGCGCCCCACGAGAACGUCCGGAAUGGAAUUCCAAUGUAGGGGGAGGAGGAGAAAUAAGAAGGAUUAUAAAUAGUGGAAGGGGUUACAUUGAUGUUAGAGAGAGUGAAUCGAGGAUAGAAUCGACCGUGGAAGAGAUUGCACCGGAGACGCCGGGCGGCGAGGAUGACCGCAACAGACAUCUAGCGGGGACAAGGAAGUGAAUUAAAAAUUCCACACAUACCGCAAUCGAUUAUAUAUUUCUGCAAAUUAACUCACUCGAAAGGUUAUUUCUGCAAAACAUACUAUUUUUAUUUUUAAUUAACAAAAUUAUCCUUCUAAUUUAUAAAAUAUAUGCAAUUAUCUUAAUAGUAUUAAGUACAUGUUUUUUUAUAAGUUAUAUAUAAGUAAAUAAAAAUAAAAAUAUAUAUAAUACGACUUGAACCCUAAACCUUUAAGGUAGCCGUGUGACAGUUGCCAACUAUGUUAAUGUUUAAGUACAUGGAUUUUAAUGCCAAGCUCUGAAUCACCAAACUAGACUUCUAGAGAAGCGAGUGCAAGCAAUCUUCAGAGAUCUUCUCUACCAAAUUCCUUAGGUUUGUCGGUUCUAGAGGUGAUUCUCGCUUAGCGAGGAACGCUUGGAUAACGGAACACAAGGGCAUGAGGAUAGGUAUCGUGUGUUUCCGACGAACUUUAUUGACUUUAGAGUUUAGACCAAACCCUGGGGAUCAGUACCGAUCAACUAGGAUACCGUCCAUCUACGUUCAACCUUAUUAUGAGUUCAAUCUCUUUGAACGUGCGUAUUUGACCCUUGCUUUGCAGGGGAAAGAUCCUUGAGGCCCGCUCAGUAGCAUCAGCCGUCCUUAGAGCCGCUAAGGACCAGAUAUGGGCAAUGGGUUAUGGGAGGAGACUCGGAAAGCCGUUUUCAAGUGCCUGGUUGGACCAAUGGAUUGACAUGGCCGAGGUUCGAAGGACAAAGUAGAAAUUUAGGGACAGUCCAACCAUGUAACAUCGAAGGCAGUCUGAGGUAUAUUCUCACUAUAGUAUGGGUAGUAAGUAACAUGCGAUUUUAACGAGAUUAGAGUCCAGUCAAAAAUGGAGGAACAAGGGGUCCAUUUCGAUGAAGAAGGGGCAAAAGCUUUUAACGACAUGAUUUCCAGAAACGAAUUAAAGGAGGAUUGAGAACCUAAUCAUAACCAGAUUCGACGGAACAAAGUAACGUUGACUCACUGGUCUCAUGAACUAUUUAUUAGUCCUUGAAAAAUGAAAAGAAUGUGCGAAUUUGUAUUAUUUUACCAGUGUAGUUAGGGUGUCAAGUAAAGCUCGGCUCAGACUCGGGCUCGCGAGCCCAACGAGCCGAGUCCGAGCCUAAAGCUCGUUAAGCUCGAUAGGCUCGAUAAGAAGUAUAAAAAAUAUUAUAUUUAUAAAGAAUGGAGAUACAACACAGAUGGUAAAACGUUUGUUUAACAUGCGAGAGGUCACGGGUUUGAUCCCCCAUGUCUCCAAAUUAUUUCUUUUAACCUGCAGGUUAAGUCGAGCCCAAACUCGCUAAAGAGUUAUUCAGGCUUGACUCGUUUUAAAAAUUGUCAGGUUCGAACCUUGCUCUAUAAGCAAAAACUCGGCUCGUUUGACACCCUAAGCGUAGUGUAAUUCAAAAGUUCAAAAAUCAAAACAUCUAUAAAAAUCAACUACAAGUUUUUUUGAAUUUAAAUUAUCGAAUAAAAUAAGAUAUUAUUUGUUAAAAUCCAUUAUCAUUUCAAAACACAGUCAAAUUAUAAGUUAAAAUAAAUAAAUAAAUCAAAAUGUGACUAUCUCUAUAAUCAAAAGUGAUAUUGUUCUUGUUUUCUAGUCUUUACUCAACAAAGAACUUAAACAGAUAAAGAACAUUUACAGAAAAAGAAAAAAAUUAGCUAUUAUCAAUUACCUAAAUCAAGUGAGAUGAUGUAUUUUAGUAAUCAAAAGUGGUCGCAAACGACCAAACCACAAGGGAAUUUCAUAAUUGAAAAUAACCCUUCAAAUCUUCAAUCAAUGGGGUUAGGAAGAAGAGUGGGAAAACUUUCUGCAUCAACAGUAGGAAAUUUUAAAUCAAGAAUCAAAAUUAACAUAAAGAAAAAAAGGAAAAAGGGAUUAACAAUCUUUUCUAAAGAGAGUAUUUAUUUCAAGAGAAACCAGGAAUUUCUCCUGGAGAAGGAGCCAGUUCAUUUGCGGCAAACCUUCCCUCAUCAUAGAAUAAUGCUCGGACAACCCGUCCACCAAAGAAACGACUGUCCAGAUCGAUUAGUGCUUUGGUUGUUUCUUCAGACCUUUCAAACUGCACGAAUAUUCUGACGGCUUCCUCUGCAGGGAAGUUUGGCUCUGUGAUCUCGAAUAUCAAGACCCGUGUCACUGUACCGUAUUUUGCACAUUCUGACGCUACCUCAUCUUCCAGUUCAUCGUCAACUUCACCUGGUCCAACCUGCAAUGGAAAUACAUGUAUUUGAAGAAUAAUCAAUUCAAGUUCCCAAGUAUUAAAUAUUUAAGCUGAGCUUAAACAAUUGAAAACAUAUCAAGUUUUCAAUGACAAUCCAUAAUGAUAAAUUCCGAGCAUCCAUUAAUUUGCUUCUACAGAAAAAUAUAGCAUAGAAUGUGUGCAUAUUUUUAUGAGGUUUUAGUUGGAAACUAGACAGGAAACAAAGAAAGAAGCAAACCCGUGAAUGACAUACCAAAGUAUAUAACAUAUCAUGGUCAGUAAUAUAAAUAUUACAUAUCAUAUUAUUACUAAGUAAAUUCAUAGUUAGCAAGCCGGUGUUCAUGGAAUUUGAAACCCAACUAUCUUUAUUUAACUCAUAGUUUUCCAGAAAAUCAUGCGGGCCAGCACCUUCAAGCGAUCAGCCUUCAGACGCUGGCUGGGUUAAGCGGAUCUGGUUGGAUCCGUUUAACCCAUGUAAAACCUUGAUUGAAGUUAAUUAAGUGGUCGCGGAAAUCACUAAAAGGUUUCAUGCGAAUAUAAACAGAUAGGCAUUCGAAAUUAAGACAGUGAGCUGAACUAUUUUCUCAAUUUGCAUACAAAUAAGACUUGGGAUUUCGCUAAGAUCAUAUAAAAAUUAAAAAUAGUUUAAAAAUGAUUAAAUUAAGGCAGCAAAUAAAGUCAUACUAUUGAUUAUAAAUUACCUUAUAUCUGCCAGCAAUCAAGAUUGGUUAUUGGAAUAAACAACAACAUAAGCACAAAAAAUGUUGAAAAGCACUGGUGAUAUGGUUAAAUACAAAUACUGAUGAUAUGUUUUGGAAACAAAUAAAGUGAAGUUAUUAAUAGAGAGAGUUUGCAACCUUGCAUGAUGCAAAAAAAGUAUAGCAAAGAAAAGUGGCAGCAAUGUAGAAGUAGAAUACCAUGUUGCGAAGAAGAAGAACGCGAGUUGGAGUGCCAUUGAAGCUAACACUCUUGGGUUUCUUGGUUUCAGAUUUGGCAGAAUCACUGGCAUUCACAAUGACACCAGCUCUUCUAUCAGUUUUCUUUGCCAUCAAUGGUGUCGUAAUGCCCUGUUCUUGCUUUCCAAGACCCUGUCCCUUUUUCCAGCCCAUCUUCGCCAUCAUCCUCUGUGCCGCAGUCAUCUGCCCACCAGCUCCAACGCCCAACCCACCUGAAGCAGAUUUUCCAAUGCUAAAUCCUUCCCCAGUUGGAGGUGGUGAAGGCGACCUCGGAGGAACUCCCCCUCCACUCAUAGCCGCUCUCCUCUUCCAAGCUUCUUCCCCCGAGAUGUUCAAUGCUGAUGUUCUAGUUUCGUAAUCUCUACUUCUUUCCCUUUCAGCAGCUUCACGUUGCUCCUUUUCCCUUUCCUCCUCCUCUCUCCUCCGUCUCUCCAAAUCACGCUUCAUCUCCGCCUCCAACAACUUCCGUUUCUUCUCCCUCCUAUAAUCCUCAUAGUCGUUCGGCCUCGCUGGAUCAUAUUCGUUGUUAACCGUCGUUGGUACGCCAACAAGUGCCGGUUGAAAAGAUGAAGUUUUAACUCCAGUAGCCACUUCAUCAUGCAGAUUUGCAAUUGGUAUUACAGAGGAAGAUGUCGGUUUCGAAUGCGACGAAGAUGACGACGAGGUUUGAGCUCUACGCAAUACGGAAGGUGGAGGUGUGAAUAGAGUAGUAGGUUUGCGGAGAGCGGAAGGUGCCAUUUUAGCACUGUUUGACCACACAGGAGCGUUCCGAGCGGCACUUCCGCUUUUUUCUUCAUCGUCUGUAGAAGGUGGGGGUAGGUCGCCGUAUAAUCCCCCGAGCAUCUUUGUGAAUUCCAAGAGAUCAAAAUUAGGGGAAGAUUGAUUGUUGCCUGUUGGGAAAGAAUCAGAGUAACCCUAGAUUGACUGCAAUUCUGCGAACGAUGGUAAAUUACAGAAUGGUCCUUGGGUCAAAAAUUAGUUCUAUCACGAAGAGAAAUAUUGCAAAAAACCCAGUGACAACUGACAGUGAUCGGUCCUGACUCGGUGACUCCUGAGGUUCAAACUUUAAACCCUAAAGCGAUCUCUCCGUAAAAGGGCGCGGUGAGUAGAGAACCAGAGAUUUGGUGUAAACGACAUGUUCUUCCGUAGUUUGGCGUUGAUGCGCCUCCUCUCCGGCGCUAACGGCAUCCAAACAGUCCAUAGAAUCUCCGCACUUUCUCCGAAGGUAUUUGCAAAGUUCGAGUUCAGUUCACUCAUCUUUUUUUCUUCCAUUUCUUAUUAACUUGAUCUGUUUCGUUGCAGAGUUGCAGACCAACGGUGCUUUCAGAAUAUAUUAUCCAAGUUCGCACCUUUUCUGCCAAAGGUAACGAAUGUUUCUUCUUUGGCCUGUGUUUUGAAUCCAGAUUGUUAUUGCUCUUUUCAUGAAUCCAUUUUGGGUUUGAUCCUUAGGGAAAAAAAAGUCCAAGUCAGAGUGUGAUGACUCCAGCGAGGAGACCUUGUCUAAGAAAGAUCAAGCAUUGUUGCAUGCGUUGGAUGAGAUUAACAGUGCAUUUGGAAAAGGGUCUAUCAUGUGGCUUGGUCGUGAUGCAGCAACACGAGAGGUUCCUAUUAUUUCAACCGGGUCGUUUGCUUUAGAUAUAGCUUUGGGGAUUGGAGGACUCCCAAAGGUAUAUUAAAAAAAAAAAUCAUAUGCCUAGUUAUUUCAAUAGAUUACCAUAGUGUUCAUACCAUUUUCAUUUGUGAUUUUAAAUUUUGUAGGGACGUGUUGUGGAAAUUUAUGGUCCAGAAGCUUCUGGCAAAACUACAUUAGGUCUUCAUGUCAUUGCUGAAGCACAGAAGUCAGGAGGUUGUUUCCUUUUGUUGGAUGUACAUAAAAUUAAAUUCUUCAUAUUCAAUUAGGAUGGAAAGAUUGAUCACUACUUGAACAUUUUACUCACAUUUUUUCCUUCCUAUUGUUUUACAUCUGUGGCUAUUAUUUGACCAAAUGUUUGUCAAUUUUUGUGUUUCUGUUUUGAUUAUUUUUUAUACAGGUCUGUUUUGAUUAUUUUUUAUACAGGUCAAUGUCUUUUUGUGGAUGCUGAACAUUCCCUUGAUCCGUCAUUGGCCGAGGCUAUUGGUGUGAAAACUGAAAAAUUGCUCAUUUCUCAGCCGGAUUGUGGUGAGCACGCACUUAGUCUUGUAGACACUAUGAUCCGAAGUGGUGCUGUUGAUGUUGUAGUAGUAGACAGUGUAAGUUUUUAAUCUACCAAAUACCAAUCUUCAGAAAAAAGCCCUAAAAUUCUAAAAAAAUGUGCAUAAUUCAAGAUUUCUCAAAGUUUACUAACUUAUACAUUCUUCCAAAUCUUGGGUUGCCUUUGAUAGCUUAAUCUUCAUAGUUCAACUUUUUCACUAACCUGCAAGAGCAUGGCAUACAGGUAGCUGCUCUUGUUCCUAAAAAUGAACUUGACGGUGAGAUGGGAGACGCACAUGUGGCUCUUCAAGCAAGAUUAAUGAGUCAAGCUCUUAGAAAAUUGAGUCAUUCUCUAUCACUGUCCCAGACGAUCUUGAUAUUCACCAAUCAGGUAUGCCUCGACAACUAUCACAGAAUAUAAUCAAUAAUUAAUUAUUUAUUUUCCUCAUAAUUAAAUGCAAGUUGCGAUAUUGUUAUUAUGUGUGUUUAGAUCAGAGCCAAGAUGGCAACGUUUGGAUUUGGCGGUGCAACUGAGGUCACCUCAGGAGGGAAUGCCUUGAAAUUUUACGCGUCUGUCCGUCUCAAUGUCAGACGUAUUGGUUUUGUCAAAAAAAAUGAAGAGGUAAGAUAACAUUUUCUCUACUAUUUUGGCAAAGUUUUAAAAUUUAAACACUUGUUAUUUAGAUUAAUAAUAAUUAGGCCAUUUAUUAAAUAUAUUUAGAGUAUCAAUUCAGUGUUGUAGUUAGAAUAUUAUUAAGAUUUAGAAAACAGAUUGUCCUAAGAUUCUAUAAAUAGGGAAUACUUCCCCUAAAACAAUUUUUUUCCUGUUUCACUCAUUCUGUAACUCAAGAAAUUUCCUUAAGGUCUUAAAUUGAUCGUUCAGUCGAUUGACGACAUGACUCCAUGUGGUACCUUGAUCCCUCCUACAUUGGAUGUCGUCGCUCUUCAAUUUAGAAUAUCCUCAUAUGAACAUUCUCCGUCUACCAUUUUUGAUGCUACAUACAACGAAUUAUAUAUUUAUAGUAAGGUUAAAAGCAUUAUUGAAGAGGUUCUUGACUUCUUCUACUUUGCUGGUUUUGAUUCUCUAUUUAUUUUUGGUUUUACAAGGAUUUUUUGACAACAAUGGACUAAUCCUCCAUUCUUUUUGACUUGUUCUAACAAUUCAUAUAUGAACUAUAUAUUUUUUACCAAUAAUAUCAUUGUUUUAUUGAAAAUGGUUAACAAUAGAUCAUAGGAAGCUCAGUUUUGGUGAAGAUUGUGAAGAACAAGCAUGCUCCCCCUUUCAGGACUGCGCAAUUUGAACUUGAAUUCGGAAAAGGUAUUUGCCGCGAAGUGGAAUUAAUCGAUUUGGGCGUCAAACACAAAUACAUCACCAGAAACGGUGCGUAUUACAGGAUGAAUGAUAAAUCAUUCCAUGGAAAAGACGCCAUCAAAGACUAUCUAGUCAACGAUAUAGACAUUCGAGAAAAUUUGGCAUUAAAUUUAAAGGAAAAGCUAAAGAUGCAGACGACAACAAUUACAAAAAAUUGUUCUGUAACUGAUGAAGAUGAAAUCGUCAACGACGCAUUACAUGGAUAGUUAAUUUUUUAUUAUCAAUUUAUUAUCAAGAGAGAAAUCUAAAACUCUAAUCGAUAAAACAUUAAAAUUACAUUCAUAUAAUUCUAAUUCUAAUUAAAUUAAAAAAGAAAUUAUAGAUAAAUAAACCUCUUCCAAGAACAAAAGCUUUUGAUAAAAGUAACUAACAUACAUUAAACGGUAUUUAACAAAAAAACAAAUAACUAUAACAAACUUUAAUUAAAACUUAAACUAAGCUUUUUUGGGAGAUUUGACAGAAUCCUCUGCCUUACCGCUCUUUGGCAAUAAAACUGAAUGGAUAUUGGGUAGCACACCACCUUGGGAAAAAGUAACACCAUGUAACAACUUUCCUAGCUCAACAUCAUUUCUAACAGCAAGAAGCACAUGUCGUGGGGUGAUCCUCGUCUUCUUGUUAUCCCUUGCUGCAUUUCCAGCCAACUCCAAAACCUGUGAUAAUUAUAUUAUCAAAUACCGUUUGACGAUAAAAUAGUGAAAAAAUGAUCGGUUUCUUAUUUUUUACCUCAGCAGCGAGAUACUCGAGAACAGCGGCAAGAUAAAUAGGAGCACCAACGCCAAAACGUUUAGCGUAACGACCUCUUCUCAGAAACCUUCCUACUCUGCCAACGGGAAAUUGUAGACCAGCUUUCAGUGACUUUGAAACUGGCUUGGUCCUCACCGAUCCCUUCCUUCCCCCGGCGCCUUUGAUCUUGCUUGAUUCCAUUUUUGUCGAUGCUAUGCGAUUUAACGACGACAAAUUUGAAGUUUAGAAAACUUGUUUGUUAAAACGAAGAGGAGUGGGAAGCAUAUUUAUAUGGAAAGAGAGGAAGACGAUCCGUGUGUUGGAGUAGGUUGGGAAGGUUAGGAUUGAAGAAAAUUAUUUUGACGGUGUGGAUGGCUUGUAAGAUGGCGUAAUCCGUGGACUCUUUGUUUAAACCAAUGGGGCUACGUGGGUGGGUAUAACUUGUAAGAAAUUACAAGGGUAUUCGAUGGCGGGAAUUAUUUGUUUUCAUUUGGGUGGAAAAAAAUUACUUUGUUUAAAUAUUAUUUUUCAAAAUCUUAAUUAAAAAUAUAUGUUAUUUUAAAGCAAUAAUUUUCUGCCUCGUGCUUAUAUGAGCUCAUCAGCUCUCAGUCGUUAGAUCUUUACAUUGAUAAUCUCAUCCGUCCAUCAGCUAUAUUAUUUUUUUAUGUACACUUUUUUGAGGAGUGAUGACUGGUUAUUAGUUUAUGAUAAAAAAAGCUAUUUAUUUUAUUUUAAAUCGUUAACUAUUUUUUCUACUUUAAUUUUAAAUCUCCAUCAUUUUGUCUAGUUGCAUAACUUAUAUAUAUCUCCUUUAAUUUUAACAUAGAUCAUCUAAAUUGCUCUACAUACAUCUCUCUUUCAUCUAUGAUUGAUGUCCAUUAAUAUUUCUAGUUAAAUCUUUUUUACUUUUAAUAUAGUUGUUCUUACAUUCCUCCAUUCUCAUAUAACUCUCUCGCAGUUUACCGUUCAAUUUCGUAGGUCACUAAUUGUAUAACUUACGUCUUUUUUACUUAUGAAAUUGUUGUUUGUUAUUACCAUCACCUAUAUAUUAUUUAUUUAUGAAGUCAUUGUUCGUUGUUAACAUCACUUACAUAUAUCUAUUUUACUUAUAAAAUCGUUGUUUCUUAUUAACCACAUACAUCUACUUUACUUACGAAAUCGUUGCUCAUGGUCAAAUAAGAAAUGAAUUUGAGGUAAAAGAACCUACCUUAACAUUAUACAAGGAAAAAACGGAAGCUUUGUUACAAAACCUUUCAGAAACAAAGAUCAACCUGAUCAAUAGAAACCUGAAUGGAGAAACCGAUGCCUUAGCCAGGCUAGGCGCAUCUUCAACCUAAAUAGCAGAAAAAAAGUGGAUACAAUUAGAAAAUAUAACGACACCAUCUUUUAAAAUUUACUCAAUUUCAAAUAGUGAAAACGACUGAAGAACUCUUGUUUCCAACUUCCUAAACGGAAAAAUGCCAGAAGCAACGAAAUGGAAAAAAAAAAUCAAAAAUCAAUCCGCACAAUCAUCGAUAACGAACUAUUUAGAAGAGACUACUAAUUAAAUUGUCCAUUCUUAAAUUGAAAAUUUCCGCUAUCUUCACAUCUCGUAAUCCCUAGUCCAACCGGGUCGUCGCGUCUCUCUCUUUGACCGGACUUUUGCUGGUGAACCGGGCUUGCUGCCGUUAAACUGCCCUGGGUCAUCUUCUUCCCCAAAUCUGGAACUUUAGGUCGCCGUCUUGCAGGAUUUUGGCAACGUCUCCUCUGAGAGCUUCACAUCCGAUUGGAGUGUGUGGUGGUUCUGCCGGAGUCAUAUCAUCACCGUCCCCUUGAAGACCAACAUUGCCCUCAAUGUUGAUUGAAGGAAAAAGCUCAGCUAUAUCAUCCGUAAAUUCCCAUGAUAUAUCUUCUAGAAUUGCUCCGUUCCACAAGAUUAGUACUUGUUUCCUUGCCCUUCCUCCCUGUAAUAUUUCCCUUUUAUUUAAAAUUGCAAUAGGGUAGACGAUAGGUUUAUUGUUCACUGAAAUGAUUGGCUGAUCAUCUACUGAAAUUUUUGGAAUAGGGCCGCAGAACUUUCUCAGCUUGAAUACAUGGAAUGUGGGAUGUAUUUUGCUCCCCUUAGGUAAUUCCAAUCUAUAAGCAACCUGAUUUACCUUCUUGCAUAUUUUGUAUUGACCAAAAUAUUUUUUGCAAAAUUUGUUAUGCAAUCUAUGAGCCACUAAGAUCUGUCAGUAGGGUUUUAAUUGAACAAGAACUCAAUCUCCCUUUUCAAAUGAUAACUCUGUUCUUUUUUUAUCUGCUAUUUUUUUCAUUCUCGAUUGGGCCUUCUCUAGAUUUAUCUUUAUUGCUUUUAGUGAUUCUUCCCUGAGUUGUAUAUCCACAUCUACUGCAGGAACUUGUGACUCACCUGAUUUGUAAUGUGGAAUAUUAGUAGCUUCUCUUCCAUAUAAGACUUUGUAGGGACUUGCUCCUAGAGAAGAAUGGAAACUUGAAUUGUACCAAAGUUCUGCCCAGGGCAGCAACUUAAGCCACUGUUUUGGCUAUUCAUGACAAUAGGCCCUCAGAUUCAUCUUGACUGUUCUGUUUAAUACUUCAGUCUGCCCAUCAGAUUGAGGGUGGUAAGCUGAAGAGAAAUUCAGUUUAGUUCCACUCAAUUUAUGUACAUCCUUCCAAAACUAAUGGGAUGGCAAUUUUGGCUUAGAACAACCCCAAUCCCAUUUUUACAUGCAUCAGUCACUACUGUAAACUCUACUUCAAAAUCAGGAAAACCCAAUACUGAAACAGACACCAUUGCUGCCUUUAACCUUUCAAAACUGAUGGUGGCUUCCUCCCCCCACUUGAAACUAUCCUUUCUAAGUAGGUCUGUCAUUGGAGAGGCAAUAGAAGCACACCCCUUGAUAAAUCUUUUAUAGUAUCCAGUGAGGCCUAAAAAUCCUCUUAAUGUUUUCAGAGUUUUAAGUUGUGGCCACUCUACCAUUGCUUUUAUCUUCUCAGGAUCUAGAUGAACACCAUCUCCAGCAAUAAUAUGACCAAGGAAUGACAUAGAAUCUCUGCCAAAGGAGCAUUUGGACAAUUUGACAAGUAACUUUUUUUCUUCUGAAUAAUUCAAAAACAAUUCUUAGAUGAUUAAUAUGAUAUUCCACGGAUGCACUAUAUACCAAUAUAUCAUCAAAAAAUACGAUGAUAAAUUUUCUCAUGUGCAUAGAGAAAAUAGAGUUCAUCAAGGACUGAAAAGUGGUUGGUGCGUUAGUAAGGCCAAAAGGCAUCACUAAGAACUCAAAAUGGCCUUGGUAAGUUCUAAAUGUUGUUCUCUGUGUGUGUUAGGAUUAACUCUGAUCUGAUGAAAUCCAGACCUCAAAUCUAACUUGGAGUAAAUUGUAGAUCCCUUUAGUUCUCCCAAAAGUUCAUCUACAGUUGGGAUAGGGUAUUUGUCCUUGAUAGUCAAGGCAUCCAAGGCCCUAUAAUCCACACAUAAUCUAUAUCCUCCAUCUUUUUUUUACUAAUAGUACAAGAGAAGAAAAUGGGCUAGAACUAGGUUUAAUGAUACCUUGCUUGAGCAUUUCAGCUACUAAUCUUUCUAUCUCAGAUUUCUAGAAUUGCGGGUAUCUGUAAGGUCUUACAUUAACAGAACCAGCCCCAGGCUCUAGAUGUAUUGCAUGUUCCUUCUCUUUUUGAGGUGGAAGGCCACAAGGUUCUUCAAACAGUUCAUAGUAUUCUUGAACUAUAGAUGUAAGCUCUGGACUCUUUGAAACUAAUGCAUUUCCUGGUUCAACAUCUUCUACUCUCUCCAUAUAACACAAAUAAGCCUCUUGUGUAGAUGCAGUAAGGUACUUAAGUUGUCCUUUUGUCAAAGGAUCUUCAGAAAUCCAUGGUAGUCCCAACCAAGAAAUUUUUUUGCCCUUCAAACAGAAUUCCAUGAUGGAGUUUUCGAAAUCAAAAGUAACCUUCCCAAAGAGAUAUGUUACUCCACGCAGAAAGGUCAUUAAGAGAGUACAGUCCAUCUGGUUUGUUAAUGACAAGACCUAACAUUGAGAGAUCAGUAAGAAGAUCAAGAGUCGGGCAUUCGAAAGAAAGUUUAGGUCAUUAAAAACAAAAAAACAAAAAACAAGGGACGAGUAAUAAUUAUUCUUCCUGCAGGGAUUUAAGAAAUGACGGCAAAAAGUUGAUACCGAUAAAUCAGGGAACUAUAUUUUGACGGUAGAAUACACUUUUUGAGAACAUAACAAAUCAAAAAAGAAAAUAAGGUCGCAUAAAAACAUCUACAGUCAGAUACGACAACCAACCAAGAUCCGUUUCAGGCACACUUGGAGAGCUAGGGCGUGUCGCAACUCGAAAAGAUCGAGUGGGUUAAUUUGUGCACCUUCGAAGGUAUUUUUGGUAUACUUUUAAUAAAAUAAAACCUAAAUCCAGAUGAAACAGAAGCAAACAACAGAAAGAAAUCCCAGUGUCUAUAAAAAGGCGUAAAUACCAACAAAGCAAAACAAAAUUUUGUAAGAUGAACCCAUUUUAUUUAAGUAUUUUUACAAAAAUACAUUUAAGAAAUGCAUUUCAUCUACAAGAACACAAGGUAAGAAAAUGCGGCAACAGGCGUUUUGAGAGCAACUCCAACAUUUCAGACAGUAGGCUUUCUACGAGGAAAACGAACAACACGGGGGAGGGUGUAAGGUGCAUGGUGUCUAUACACCCGAUUAUGACAUGCACAGUAACCCGACUCAGAUGCCUCCGUUCUCUGCAACAACGUCAACCUCCUUUUUACAUCUAACAACAGGUGGUUCACUCGAUCCAGCAGAGCAGAAAGUCGACUGCUGGCUCCCUCAUCAGUCGAUCACACCAGAACUCCAGCAAUGACGCUCUGAUGAUAAACGAGCUCAAGGACAUAUUCUUCCAACAGUGCUCGAGUCAUCCUUCUAUCAAGUUUUCUUUAACGGGAGGAGUAACUGUUGAUACGUAAUUGGUCGCGCUAUAUACUUGCACCGACCAAUCACAUCUCGCCAGGAACUACAAAUAAAUUGGAAUUGCAUGUCCGGCUUAAUAAGGAGUUCGACACUUGGAUCGUAACGUGUCACCAAGCUAAUGUAUCCCCCGACUAUAUAAGGAGAAAACAUCAAUAGAACUCGACGGGAUCUCUACAUCAACACAUAACAACUCAUUUGUGUCGUUCAUUUUUAAGAAAUGUUAACGUGUCUUUAAAAAUAGUGGGACGUAUACAAUUUUUGAUAACAUCUGAUUAUCUACCAUCCUACGUAUUUUAUCGAAAAAAUCAAUCCACGUAUUAAUGUUGAUGUUGGAUGUUCCGGAUAUUCUUUUAAACAAAUUACAUUCUAAAAAAAAUUGACUACCGUUUUGAGCAAACUCCCUUAUCAAAAUACUUGCAUAAAUAUCGAUUAUCUGCAUUUUCUUGUAAGUCAGAUUUUUCAAAAUGAAUUUAAAUGUUUGGUCUGAUUGAUCUCACAUGGUCGUUGUAGAUUUUCUUUUGAACAAUAUCUACAAUGUCUUGCCCAUUAUAAAACCGUCUGUUGCGAGAAUACGAUUUUUUUUCGAUUUGUCAAAAAAACACUUUACAAUUACAUUAUUCAUUUGUUGUCCAAAAAAUUAAUAAAGUGGCUACCUUUAUAAAGGAUGGAAUGAAAUAAACAUUUUUUUGUGUGAUGUUGGGUGAUACUGGAACAUCACCCUUGUGAGAGACUAAUUGUUUGUCCCUAUUGGUAAAUGGUUUGCAUUUAUGAAAAUAUUUAAAGAAGGAUGUAUUUCUACUGAGGUGCUCAAAGACAUUUGAGUUAAUAAUCCAAUAAAAGUUUGAAUAAUUAUUAUGAAAAAUGAAAUUUGCAAUACUUGAAUCUUUGUAUUUUAGUAGUGGUUUUGGAUUGUAUUUCUCAGAAUAAAGUGGAAAGCCAUGGGGUCCAAUCGGGUUGUCAGGUGUCUCAUUCUUUUUCACUGAAUUGUCCCAUAUGCAGACCAGGCUUGUUUGUCAGUAGUGACAUAAUUCACAAAACUAUAUGACAUUAUUGGAGUUGGUUUUUUUUGUUGAGGGGACACCCUUGUUUUGCUUGUGAUCCAGAGGAUAGCCAUGUUGAACAUAACAUUUGUCAUCACUAUGUUCAAAGACAACACAGUGAAAGCAAUAGUGUUUAGUGUUAACUUGUCUAUCACUCUUUAAGUAGAGUGGUUUAGAUGAAGGAGGAGGUAUCUUUCUUAAAUUUGAAGAGGAUAUAUGGAGCAAUUUGUAAAUUUCUCAACAUGGGAAGAACUGACAUUGUUGUUUUUGUAGACUUUUGCUGAAUUUUCUAUUUUUGUAGAGUAAAAGGCAGACCCUUGCAGAGCAUUGGUGUUGUCAGUCAGAUGUUCUUGGGUUUUUCAUGGACUACCAUUGAAUAAACCUUUCCACCCUUUGGAAACUUCUCCAUUGAUAAAAUGUGUAACCUAAUUUGUCUGAAAUAUUCCUCAUUCAAAAUCAUUAAGAUCAAUUUCCUGAUUUUAAACCUUUCUUCUCUGUCAUUGAUUUUACCAUUCACAUUGCACGUGCACAAACCACAGUCACAGUAGAGAAUCUCCCCAUAAAUAUCAACUUCUCUCCAAGAAUUUUUAAGGUUGGUGAAAAGUUUAGAGAUAGAGUCAGCAUCUUGUUGAAGCAAAGCUACAUCUUGUGACAAAUGAUAAAUACGUGUUUUAUUUGAUUGCCUGAAUUGGUCUCUGAGAGGCUGAGAUCACUCCAAAUGAUGGAAGCAUCAUUUAUAUAUAUGACUUGAAAGGUAAUCUAUUUUUCUAUGCAUCGUAUUCUCUACUUGGGUUUUCUAUGAUCGUCUUCUCUAUUUCCUUCAGGUAUUCUAGUUUUCUCCCCGAAUCAGUCUAUUUUCUAUGAUUUUCUAUUUUUAUCACAAUAGCGAUGAAAUUCAACAAUUACGGACAACAGCGGAUGAAAAUGUAUGUUUUAAUUAAUUUUACUAUUUUAAAUUAUUUGAGUGUUUUAUUUUUUGAUAUGCUAUUUUCCUCUUUUAGGUGGUUCAACAAAAAUGCAUUGAAAAAUUCAUCAAAAACAAAAGAAGAAGAUACAUUGGACUUGAUGGAAGAUCAUAUGCUGAGUCGAUCGAGCACUGCUUCUAUAAGAUUUUCAGUUGAAAUGAAUUUACGAAAUCUUGAAAAAGAAAUAAUGAAUGAUCAAAUCAAGUCUUUACUAGAGGUAUGCGUAUGAUAAUACAUGAAAUUUUAAAAUAAUAUAUAAAUAUUAAUGAAUCUUAAAUGUUUUACAGGAUAAUCGAAAUUUGAAUAACAAAUACGAUCAAAUUUUUGAUAUGUAUCAAGAGUUGUUGAAAAGAUUUCCAUCAUAAUCGAAUACAACUCCAUAACCUUCUGAUCAUGGAUCGUUGUAAGAUAAUAGUAAUGAAGCUCAUAACGAUCGAAGAUAUCAAACUCCUCUAUCCAUAAUUUUAAUCAAAAUCAGAGAAAUAGUUUAGUAUAAAUAUUAGAUUAUGAAUUCUCUUUCAAUUUUAGAUAUUUUGAAAUUUAUAAGAUGUUAAUAAUGUAAUUCAAUUAAUGUUGAAUGUUAAAUGAUUUUACUCAUUAAUGUUGAAUGAAUUUAGUGAUUAAUAUUGAAUAUGAAUUAUGAAUGUAAAACUUUAAUAUGAAUGUUAUAUGAUUUAUUUCUACAGGAAAAAAUAUUUAAGCAAUAUAUGAAAUGAAAUACAUUUUGGAAAUAUUUUUUGUGCAAAAAAAAUAUUGUAACGGAAAUUCCGUUAAAAAUGAUCAGUCUUUUUUUUUUUGUAUUUGUAACGGAAAUUGUAACGAAAAUUCCGUUACAAAUACCCCGUUAACUUAGUUUGAAAAAUCAAAUAUGUAACGAAUAUUUGUACGGAUUUGAGUAUUUGUAACGAAAUUUUGGUGACGACCAAAGUUAACAGAAAUUCCGUUAUAAAUGACAUAGUUAACAAAAUUUCCGUUAACUUUGUUCGUCCAUGAUAAGUGAUUCAAGCCUCAUAUUCCUCAAGAUUUUUGUUAGAGGGUUCCUUAAUUCAAUAGUUGUUCCAAGGACAAAUUCAGUUUCCUUCUUAUUAUUAGCAUUGUGGUCAUCUCUCUGUUUCAGAGGUAAUAGUUUUGGCUUCCUUCACAAUGAUUAGACAACUUCAGGAAAUAUGGAGAAAUAGGGUCAAAUAGAAGACCCUCCCUUGGUUUUUUAUCAUCCAUUGAAAAUGCACUGUGACGACAUUCACAAUGAUGAAGGUGAAGGUGUAUUAGAUAAUUAAAUAGAAAGUGUAAAUGAGUAUGGUCCAUAAACAUGGAUGAUAUAUAAAUGAAUGUUUGGGUUUAUGCAAGUUAUGACUCCUCAACACAAAAAUGGUGAAGGGUCACAUAUAAAUUCAACAUGUUAUGAAAUGAAAUUGGUUGUUUAAGAAGAACAGAGUGAUAUGGAUAAACAAGAUAAGUAAUGUGCGGAAGCGUCGAUCAUGGAAGUUAGAUACAAAACUUUGUAUGAAAAAUCACUCAAUCAUAUAUGAGAAGGGGAACCAAAUCACUCAAAGUUAGAUACAAAACUUUGGAUCAUGGAACACAGGAACCAAAUCAACACAACACCACUUGUAGCUUUGAUACCAUGUCAGAGUCGACGAGCUAAGAAGAUGGUGUACGUAUUGUUUAUGAUAGAUUUAGAUUUAAGUCUAAAAACUCAACUAUGAAUAACUUGUUAUUUGUUGUAUGAGAUAGGAGUAUCCAAAAUAACCCUCAAUGGAUGUUACUUAGUAGUUAGUAGUGAGUCUGGACCCCGAAUUGAGUAUGGUGAGAUAACUGAGGAGAGGCCAAGGAGUCUGGUUGGAGUUCGUUUCUUAGGGACGGAUCUCUUUUAGGGUGGGCGGGUGGUGGUGGUGGCUACCUUACGUUUGUCUCACGUCUGACUAGCUAGUCGACUUAGUUGAUUAUUGGCGAAUCCGACCUUUGCCUACUUUCGAAGAGGAGGGGAAGGAGGAUGCCUUGAAUAGACUAUGGUUGUGUGGAAGUGUCUCUCAGAUGAACACGAGUAUAUGACGGACGAAAAUAUAUCCCAAACUCUUUAAAAGAUUUUUAUAGAGCGUGUGAGUUGUCUUUGGUUAUAUUAUGAAUUGUAUUAAUUGUAAUUGCUAAUAUAUUUAUCACUAUUUUAUUAAAAAAAAAACUUCAUGCAACUUAUUAAGUUAUAACUAAUAUCAAAUAAAAAAAACCAUGUUCACGUCGUCACUGUAACACUGUCACUAUUUCUCCGGGGCAAAACUGUCAUGUCCACGCGUCAAACAAUAAUUGGUCACAAACACGUUUCCUGGUUCGUCAUUGGUCGAAACCUAGUCAUUUUCGACCUUUAUAUUUCAAUAAAGAGAGAUUAAUCCAUUUCUCGUGUCGACGCGUCGUGGUUCUUCUUCCUCCUCUGUUACCAUCGGGUUCUUCAACCCAGGCCGUCGAUUCCCUGGUAAGAUCCAUUCCUCACCGUUCGCUUAUACUUCCAGGGUUUUUCUUCUCCACAGUUGAUUUUUGAGAUCUGAUUUUCUUGGAUUCGCAGGCGAUGGCGAACAAACAGAUCGCACCUUUAGCUCUCCUGGUAAUCCUGAUCGCGUGUUUCUUGUUCUCAUCUCAUGCUUCGGAUGCGGUGAGUGUUUGCUGGAUGGAUCUUGACAUCUUGUGUUAUCUAGUUCUUAAUUUUUCCAUCUACGAUGUGUUUGGGUGAUGAUGCUAAUCCGUGAUUUCAGAUCUUCUAUGAAUCAUUCGAUAAGUCAUUCGAGGGGUCUUGGGUUGUAUCGGAAAAAGAAGACUACGAAGGUUUGCAUUCCGAUCCGAAUUUCGAACUGUUUUUAAAAUCUCUCGUUAGCAUCUAUUGAUAAAAUAUGGAUUUUUUUACUGGAUCUGGCGAAAGGGUAGAUCAGAAUAAUUAGUAUACCUCUUGCAGAUUUGCCAAAGUAGAACAAUAAAUUUUUGAUUAUACGGAUUAAUAAGCUGCAUUUAAAAUUUUGAAUGCAAUUUUCUACCGACUCUCGGACGGUCCGACCCACUUCUCGUGAUUAUCGGCAUAUAAAGCAUUAAAGUCAACUUAGUUAGAUCUAAGAACUAGUUUGAAGUUAUAUAAGUAUUAAGUACCAAGUGGUCUUUUCAAUUGAUAUACCACAGUACUCGUGUUAAAAUAACAAAAUUAACAAUCCGAUCUAGUAUUAUUUGUUAUUAAAUUUGGCAUUUGAACAAACAAUUCAUCAUUCUCCAUAUCUUGUAACGAAGCUACAAAUUUAAUAAUAUCUUGUAUCUAUAGUUCAUUUUCAUAGUAGGGAAGUAAUUUGUGUUUGUUUAUAUUACCAUAUUAGCAUGAAAUACUCCGAUAGCUUUAUGAAUUAUGAUAGUGACUUAGCCUUUAGAGUUUGGAUUUAGCAGACAGUGGUGAAAUACUGUUUGGCGGAUUUUUCAUGUUUCUUUUUAGCAUUUGAUUUGUGUGUUUAUGGUAGUUUUGUCAGUUUGUGAUUGAGAAUUAUUCUUUCCCCAUACUGAAAAUGACAAUCUUGAUAAUUUUGUGUGGGACACUAUUAUCAGGUGUGUGGAAGCACUCAAAGAGCGAGGGGCAUGAUGAUUACGGUCUUCUUGUUAGCGAUAAAGCAAAAAAGCAUGCCAUUGUAAAUGUACUUGAUAAACCUGUAAGUCUUAAGGAUGGAACCAUUGUCUUACAGUUUGAAGUUCGUCUCCAAAGUGGUCUUGAGUGUGGUGGGGCAUAUCUGAAAUAUCUCAAACCACAAGAUGCUUCAUGGAUUCCAAAAAAUUUUGACAAUGAGUCUCCUUAUUCUAUUAUGUUUGGGCCUGACAAAUGUGGGUCUACAAACAAGGUUCAUUUCAUUCUCAGGCAUAAGAAUCCUGUUUCAGGGGAAUAUGUUGAACAUCAUCUCAAGCAUCCAGCAUCUGUCCCAUCGGAUAAACUCUCCCAUGUAUACACAGCGAUCAUCAAACCUGAUAAUGAGUUACGGAUUUUGGUCGAUGGGGAGGAGAAGAAAAAGGCCAACUUUUUGUCUUCGGACGAUUUUGAGCCAUCCCUUAUUCCAGAAAAGACAAUUCCAGACCCAGAUGAUAAGAAGCCCGAGGAUUGGGACGAGAGAGCUAAAAUAGCCGACCCUGUUGCAGUGAAGCCAGAUGAUUGGGACGAGGAUGCUCCCAUGGAAAUUGUAGAUGAAGAGGCCACCAAGCCAGAAGGUUGGUUAGAUGACGAACCUGAAGAAAUUGAUGAUCCAGAAGCUACAAAACCAGAAGAUUGGGAUGACGAUGAAGAUGGUGAUUGGGAAGCACCCAAGAUCGAUAAUCCCAAGUGUGAGUCUGGUCCUGGUUGCGGGAAGUGGUCAAAACCAAUGAAGAGUAAUCCUGCCUACAAGGGUAAAUGGUAUGCUCCUAUGAUUGACAAUCCAAAUUACAAGGGUAUUUGGAAACCACAACAAAUCUCAAAUCCCAAGUAUUUCGAGCUUGAGAAACCAGACUUUGAGCCUAUAUUUGCCAUUGGCAUUGAAAUAUGGACAAUGCAAGAUGGUAUUCUUUUUGAUAAUAUUUUGAUAGCAAGCGAUGAGAAAGUUGCGGAAUCAUACAGAGAGAAAACCUGGAAACUCAAGUUUGAGGUAGAAAAAGAAAACCAGAAGUCAGAGGAAGUCGUCUCUGGUGAACACACUGGUCUUCAGGUGAUAAGUCAUUUACCACUAUCCAUUUUAAUUUAACUCAUUUACCACCAUCUAUCGGUACUUUUUGCUAACGCCAUUUUUCUCUCGAUGUUCAGAAAAUGGUGUUUGAUUUCCUCUACAAGAUUGCAAAUAUUCCAUUUCUGGCACCUUACAAGUCCAAAAUAAUUGUAAGUUCAUCCUCCCAGAGUCUCACUUUCUCAAUCAUAGUAAUUAAUCAACCACCUAUAUUUUGUGAAAAUGGCAGGAUCUAAUCGUGAAAGGUGAGAAGCAGCCCAAUAUUACCAUCGGAAUCGUCUUCUCCAUCCUAUUGGUUCUGUUAACAGGAGUCUUCAAAGUCCUCUUUGGCAGCAAGAAAACAGCUGUACCUGUAAGUAAUAAGAUUCAUAAUAUAUUCACAAAUCACAGGUAUGAAAUUGCAUCCUUUUUAUAUUUCCUUGCAUCAGGCACCUCCUGCAAAGCCAGUUACCGCCGCCUCUACGUCUGAGACCACAGAGAAAAAAGACGAUGAUGAGAAAGAUGAGACUACAGCUCUGCGCCAAAGGAAGUCCAGACGUGAUACAUAGAAUGGAAAUGAGGCUUCUAGUUUUUUGUCCUUCGAUAACAAAGAACUUGUAUUAGAACAUGAGCAUAGUAUUUGUAAUUUGGCUCGAAGUUGCUGUGUGCUUGCCUUCUUGGCUUCCUUCUUUAGCUAAUUAAUCAGUAAUUCAGUAAUCAGUAUUGUUGUAUUUUGAUUUUUUGUCAUUUUCUAAAUUCCAAUUCAAGUAAUUCAACAGAUAUUUAAUAUUUAUUAUUAAUUAAUAGUAUCAUUUGUUGAUGUUUAAUAUUAAUAAUAAAAUCAUAAGGACUUUUUCGCAAUUCAUAAGGACUAAGGAACAACAUUGGUGGAUUAAAAUCCCGCGAAAAAUUAACCCAUAGAGAGAGGUCAUUCGUUAAUGUAGCGCACUUCAACUGAACUCACUACGCUACGUCAUACGACUCACACACAGCCUUUCUUCUCCGACGAUAAAGAUUAAAGAGGGAAACGGCCAAAGGGACCUUUUCAUAGGAGGAGAGAAGAAGUUAGAUUCUAAAUCCUUCAUUUCCCACCGGAAGAAUGACGCUUCUCUGCUUCCUUCUCGAUCUUCGUACGAUCCCGCCGUCUCUUCUUCGUGAGAUUAAACAGGUUCACGAUCAAACACCAGUACAUCGCUGAAUUAUUUAGUUUAUUCCGAUCUUUCUUUUGGCAAUGAAUUUUGAUGUGUCGUGCUUUGUUUUCUAGAGUCUGUUACAACUCGCGAAUCUCUAUGCCAUUUCAGUCUGGAAUGAGGCGGAGGAUCGUCCGUUCACUCCGUUGCAGGAUAGGAUCGGGUUGUGCUAUCUGCAUAGGAAUAUGAUGCUUAAUUCUGACGAGGUUUAAGAUUUUUCUUGUCUGUACUUUUGUCAUUGGCUUAUUGCUUUAUAUAUAUUUUUAUGGAUGCGCAUGGAUUCUUUAGUUGGAUUUUAGAUCGUGAAAACAUUGACAUGACUGAAUCGAUAACUUUAACGAUGGUGGUUAAAUAUGUCUGUAAAUUAUAGACACACGAAAUAUGGAAAUAAUGUUAAACGGGGAAAUGGAAUGGUCAUAUAUACUCAUAUAGAUGGUAAAAAACCUAAAAUUAACUUGUAUUUCACUUAUUUCUAAAUGAUAUUAUGAUGUUAUAAAUUUCUAUUAUUAGUCUCCAAAAUGUUGUCACUAUCCUACGACCUACAUGCAUUACUUCGUAUUUCAAUUACACUGCAACUUUAAUUUGAAACAUUUCUUAUAUGUGGAAUGAAAUCGGUAUGUAUAUAUCCUCAGGGCUUCUGUAUUUUGAAAAGAAUGUUUAUUGGUGGUUAUCUUCUUAUCUCAUACUUAAUUCAUAAAUCACAUACAUUUUGUUGUUUUACAAAAAAGAAGUUAAACUUGUUAACUUCCUUAGGCCGAAUCAAAAUAAACUUCUUAGUAUUUGCAGACUUUCUUCAGUUUAAGCUUCUCACAUAUUUUUAUGAUGAAUUCCAAAAGAUAAAGAUAGCAUAUUCUCCAUGGGGAAAUUUCAAUCUACGGAAUUUCCAUCACGCUGUUAACAACAUUCCGAUGGAUAACUAUCUACUUGAAUCAGGCAGUGUUGAUAGUUCAAGAAGCAACAAUCUAGGUAUCUCUCCUUUGAUUUCUUUCUUCUUCUGAUAAAUUUAUGAGAAAAAACAGUUAAAGAAAAGGAAAACUCAUAUGUAGGUAGAUUUAUUUUCGCAUCUUUUUUAUUAAUCUCACAGAUGUCGAAUUCAGAAAGCUUCUUAGUCAUGAAUCAUUGUACCCUUGGAAUGGUAAAUAUGCUCUGAAGAAAUUGAUUUUCAUUAGCUCUUACAUGAUCACAAUUGAUGAAUCUCUCAGGAAAGUAAUCAUGGUAUGCUGGCUUACUUUUCAGCUCUUUUCUAUAUAAAUAUUAUUUUCCCUUUUCUAUUUUUAGUCAAACUAAUUUUGACUAUUCAACUAGGAAGCAGCAGAACAGUGUAUUAUGGUGGAGUUUAUUAUGCUGGAACAAGAUCAUUAUCAUGACUUGCCUUACAGAUCAGAAUUAUUUUUAGAUAGUAUAUCUGAUCUUGAAAAUUGUGUGUUCCGAAGGUAUACUCCUGGUGAGUUUUUUAACUAUCUAUGGCUUCAUGAGGUUUUUUCAAGUGUGUGCAUUUGAAUAUUCCUAUACUAGAAAAUGUUAGGAUUCCUAUAUUGAUGUCAAUAAGUGCAAUGUUGGAAGUUCAAACUUCAAUAUCGUGCAAAAAUAAAAUAUAAAUCACUUACAAUUGUGAUUUUUUUAAAUCCACGUUAGAAAAUGUGUCCGUGUUUGUGUUUCAUAAGAUAUCAGUGAGUUUCUCCACAUGUGAGGGAAUUUACAUGAUUGCAGACUUUCGGGUCUUCUGUGGGCUUGUAAAGAAAUGGAUGCAAGAACUAAAUGGUGAACCAGUGCAAGCUGUUUUUAUCUUUGAUGGGAAUAUUGCAGGCUUCAAAAAUAAAAUUUAUUGCAGCUUGAAUGCUUCCUCUAGUCCCAUAGUUGAUGGGUUUCACAUUUCUCAGGUACAGAGAUUUAGAAUACUUGUAGAUUAUUUUUAGAAGUGACAUGCUGACUGCAAUGUCAUUUUAGAUUAUUUUUCUAUGCUAUUUAAUAAUUUGUUGUUAUACUAUUUAACUUAGAUUAAUAUUUGGAUACAAGGACAAUUUGUUAAAUCUCCAAUUCUCCAUUGACAAAACUAAAGUACCAAAUAGUGAAUUUAUUACUGCCACAAAAAUAGAAUAUAAAGGAAACCCUUCAUAGAAGGAUAAAACCUCUGGGUGAUAUACUGAUAUAUCAUAACCCAUCUAAUACAUCUUCAAGUAAAUUGAAGUUGGUAAGGUACUCAUUGGGAAUAGAAAACUCAUAACCUCGUCCACUUUUUAGUGUCAUAACACCACUUGGGAUUCCUUUAGUGAAUUCAUGACUGCAAUAUCACUUUUGAUUUUUUAUUGUUUUGAUAGAACUCAUAACCUCAUCCACUUUAGUGUCACAAGACCACCUGAGUUUCAUUUAGUGAAUUCACGACUGCAAGAUCACUUUUGAUUUUUAUUGUUUUUGUAUGAAAUGGUCAAUGUAUUAGAGUUUAAGAUAGAAAAAUGUGCAUGUUGUUGGUAGGAUAUUUUACUCGAAGAAGAUUGCCAGUGUAAAUUAAGUUUAUUAACUAUUUCUUUUAUAGACUUGUAGGUGCCACGGCCGUCCCAUUGAAAGUAUAAUUUCAAAGACGAUUAAGAAACUAUCAUGUCCGGUUACUAACUGUAAUAUCGAGGCUUCUGAAGCAAAUAGAAAUGCAGUGGAAGUUGGAGACAAUACUCUAUUGUUUCUACCUUCUUCCCAUGAUUUUCUAAAGAAACAAAAAGUUCCUCUACUUAUCACUUUCAAUAUUUCGGAACGUAUCAACUUGUCAUCAUUGGAUGAAGGUUCUACACUUCAUUAUAAUUAUGAUUUAUGAGCGAGACAUUUUUUUUUUUGUACCAAAU